rnacentral:lncRNA from 1 species
AAUCGGGUACAAUCCUGUGCGCAGGAGGAGGAAUUCUAUACUGUCACACUUACACCACAUCAUCAAUAACAAGCCAAUCACAUUUCUUCUUUUUAAACAAAAGUACAAUAAAAAUAUUUUUUUACAAUCAAGAUGGGACAUAUACUUUUAAAAUGAAACAUUUGAUUGAUUUAUUAUGCCACGUCAUCAAUAUAUCUGUUGCAUUCUAAAAUUUUUCGCGCAAGAGGGUGUAGGGAAACUCCCAUAAACAGACGGUGCAGAAUUUUCCUAUGCACUUUAUUGUAAACUUGUGAAACAUCCUCCCCGUGUCAUCCAUUUUAGGACUCGAGUGCAACUUUGUUUUGUGCACGAGCAUGAGAUGUCAAAUGUUUUUCUAUUUAAAUUUGGCUGGUGAUGUCCAGUCCAAAUUUGGAAAACGGCUUUUGUGGCGCACAAUACAUUGUUUCGUUUGUUUCUCGAGCGUUGGUCACAUGCCUGCAUCUCGUCGGCUAAAAGCAUAUGAGUCAUGACUAACUACAAAUAGCAGCAAUCUCAUGCCGACUAUUUCUAACACAAGUGGUGAAGAGUUUAAUAAUUAGUAUUUGAGAUUCCGGAUUUGAAGCAUAGUGCUUCAUAUUUAUCUAUGUUUAUUUUAAAAAUAAAAAAAAUAAAUAGGUAGCAUGUUAACCAUUUGAAAUAAACCAAGUUACAUUGUUAUUAUCACACGAUAAGUUACUGUUUUGACUAGCCCAUUGGGCCCAAACUUUUGUGCUCUCUCGCCCUUACUACGGGCCUCCUACUGGGCCGGCCUGGUUACUAAGGCUACCGAAUAAAGGCUCUCUCCGGUGCAGGCUCUUUAUUCUCUUUGUUUAGUUUACCAUGGAAUCAGAAUCACAAUUUUGCAUUACUCAAUUUUUUAAAUUAAGAGAAGAACACAACUCAUAGCAUAAACAAGCUUUGCAUAAUUCAAUUCUUACCAUGUGGUGACAUAAAAAAAUGUUGCAGACUCACUGAGGUUCACAUCGGCGGUAUCGAUCCUACUCGCGGCGGUGUUUAUGUGCAUAAGUCUGGGAAUAGCUAUCUCUGCGCUUAUUCACGGCACAGCGAAGAUGCCGCGGCUGUUCCCGGAUUUCGCAAACUUAUCAUCCGUCUUUGAGCUAUUCACUGCAGUUCCGGUUGUCGUCGUCGCCUUCACUUUCCACUUCAACGGUAAGCCUCAUGAUCUAACUCUUUAAGUGUGGAAUUUGAAACCUGAUGGAAUUGAACUCAUCACUCUUUAGCUAAAUAUCAAACUGCAGCUUAUUCAAACACUAAUAGGCUUAUUUUGUAACGUUGAUAUUCCGAAAGCUGGGUUUAAUAUUUGCCGGAGAAAAUACAUUAUAUCUAAUUAUAGUUUAGAAUUUGUUAAUUUUCGGAUCAGUCAAUAAUAAAAUUGCUUUGGCAAAUCAACUAAGCCUUGACACAUAUCUUAUUUUAUAAGACAUUGGAGGAAUAAAUUUUUUUAUUGAACAUGUUGGAAGUGUAGUGAAAACUUAUGAACUGUAUAGUUAACGUAGUAUUCAGGAAUGUUAAAACUAACAUUGUGAACUCAAAUUGCAGUGCACCCGAUCCGCGCGGAGUUGGAGAAGGCGUCGGACAUGGCGACGGCGGUGCGCGUGUCGCUGCUGCUCUGCUCGGCGCUCUACUCCGCCGUGGGCCUGCUGGGCUACCUCCUCUUCGGCGACGCCACCAUGCCCGACGUCCUCUCCAACUUCGACCGCUCUGUCUCCGGCUCUGGCUCCCCCCUCGACCGCGCCCUCAACGACGCCGUCCGCCUCAGCUACGCCCUCCACUUAAUCCUCGUCUUCCCCCUCCUCCACUUCUCCCUCCGCCUCAACGUCGAUGAGCUGCUCUUCGCGCGCCUGCGGGCUCGCCGGCCUCUCCGGUCGGAUAACGUGCGCUUCGCGGCGGUCACCGGGUGCCUGCUGGGGCUUCUCUACGUCGCCGCGGUCGCGAUACCGGAUGUCUGGGCGCUGUUCCAGUUCUUCGGCUCGACCACCGCCGUCUGCAUCUCGUUGAUCUUCCCCGGCGCCAUUGUGUUGAGGUAUAGCAUAUGAACCUACUCAUUCUUUCAUUGUGGUGGUAGGAGUAUCUGGGACCUGGUUCGUCUCGCUUUUGCUUUUCAGCAGCUGCUGUAGUAACUUUUUUAAAAACUGAUUGACAAAUAAAAUUCAGCGGCCGCUGUAGUAACUUUUUUAAAAACUGAUUGACAAAUAAAAAAUAAUCCUACUUUUAUUGUAGAGAAAAACUAAUAAAAGAAUUCAAUAAAGUAUUUUUCUAAAUACCACUGUCCAAUUAGGCUUUUUUUUAAGAGAGAGAUAAGCAUGCUAUUCGUUUCGUUUAUUUUAUUUAAAAAUAAGCUUAGCUGGAAAUAUGAAUCAACUAGAAUUCGAACUUGAAACCUCAAGUAUCAAACAUUAAGCUCUUUGCCACUUGCUCUAAAGACAAUUGAUUGAGAAUUGUGUUUCAUUUAGGGGUAAUUUGGUUUCCUAGUUGAAAAAAAUAUUUUUCUUCAUUAAGGUUUUUAAAAAUUAGUUUUAUAAUUUUUUUAUAUUUUAUGGAAAAGUUUUUUUUAUGUUUUCAAUUAUAGAAAAUAUAUUUUUCAUGGAUUUUUUUUUUGAAAAAUAGCUUUUCAUGAUUAUCCAAAAAAUCGAAGGGCCCCUUAUCUUCUUUAUUCCCAAUACUAUAUAUUAUGUGGGACGGAUUUGGGCCAUCAACUCAGCAAUGGAUAAAGCUUUAGACUUAAUACUUCUGUUAUGAUAGCACCUGAAAAAAAAAAACUUACAGUUGUUAAAAGGACAGAUUCUUUUAUUUAUAUGCAAUAUAAUGGGUCCUAAUUUUGUAAAAAAAGAAUGGGCCGUAAUUGUGUAGAUCAGGUAUUUAGGGCCUGGGCCAUGAUUGACCAGAUUCGUUGAGGCAAUACGUCAAAUGGGUCAAAAGCGACCUGGUUGGCACGGCCCAGCCCAGUAUCUUAGUUAGAGUAGAGCUUCAAGAAGCGCUAAUAGCUUUUUCACUAAAAUCUCGUCAAAAACCUUCUACUGCGCAAGAAGCUGCAGUUUCGGCAAAAGCUUUAGACAUAUCGUUUGCCAAACAGACACUUAGAUAGCUAACAAAAGGUUCUGAUGCAUUUUACAGGGACGUACAUGGCAUAGCCAAAAGAAGAGACAAGGUAUUGGCAGCUACUAUGAUAGCUUUGGCUGUGAUAACAAGCUCCAUUGCUAUUGCCUCCAAUAUUAUUAGCUCCUUUGGGGGCAAAGCUAGUGCCGAUCACGCAGCUCAAUGAGUCCCUGUAAAUGUUCAUCCAUAGUCAACCCAUCCAUAUAUCAGAGUGGUAAGAUCGAAGAUCGACCAAAAGUCGUUUAGUUACUGUAAUGUGAUUAUUUAUUAGUUCCCUUAUUGUUGUUAGAGAGAUGAUGAUGAGAUGCGUGUUCGAGACACAUCUUCGAGUACGAAAUGUAGCAUGCUUGUGUAUCAGAUUUAGAGUGACGAGCCAUCUUUGUGUAUAUUAAUCUUUUGUUCCUAAAUUCUUCUUUUGAAUGAUGUGAAAUUCGGUUCCAUUGGCCAACCUGAACAUAUAUAUUGGAUCUUUAUUUCUUUGUGUGAUCUCUAAAUGCCGUAAAUUUGCAGCAAACUCUGAUUCACACCUUUUGGAUGUAUUACAGCAGUGAAUUUAUUCUGCUUUAUUAUUACAAUUGAAUUACUUGCCUACAUCCCGACUGAGAAAAUGUCUGCUGUUGUUCUGAUCAACAAUGUGUGUAGUCAAUUGCGGGUACGAGAUACCAUCUCAAUAUUUCCAACACGUCUCCUUUGCGGGACUAAUGACAGAGACCGUCGACAAAGACGUUGCAGGAAAACACAGGCUUAAGAGUUUAAUCAUUCUUCUGUUCCCUUCUUUCUUUCUUUCUUUUUAUCUAUCAAUUUGAACCACUCCUUGGUGAUUCUGCAAAGGUGGGAAAGCUAAAUAAGUUGCGUAGAAGUUUCACUUCAAGAGCUUCUACUCACCAACCAUGUUACUGUCGAACGAAUACUCUAUACUGUUUUUCUUCUGUUCAGGAAUAAUAGGAAUGCUUGCCAUGUGGAUAUAGUACUAUUUUUCUUCUGGUAAGGAAUGAAAGGAACGUUCACCAAAUGGAUGCUUCCUGAAGUUUUACGUGGAUAGUUAAGACUCAUUCUAUCCAAGUCAUUUAGAUUUUGCACGAUUACUGUUAUCAUCUUUCUCUUCUUACUAUCAACUUUAAAUCUGAUUGGCUUUACAAAUUCAUUUUUUGUAGGAGGUUUGAAUCAUUCUUAUUAUUGCUUCCAGAUAUUCCGUUCAACAAUAUGCAGGUUGACUACUGGUGAGAUAGGUAACGAAUCUUUUACUACUAUAGCUAGCAGCAUAUUAGCAGUAACUCUCAAAUCUGUUAGAUCAUUAGGCAUUCGCAAAGUUAACUUAUAAGAUGAUACAUAUUUCUUUGCUGAAAUGACAGCUUAACAAGAAAAUGAGUAUUGCUGUACCUGUCGACAGAUUUUGAGUAUCUCGAUACAAAUGGAUGAUGGAUCUAACUCAUAGGUAAGUCAGAAGUUGUGAUAAUAUCAGGUGCUGCGAUGAGUCACGACGUUGAGUAAUUGGUACAACAUUGUGAGCAGUACGUUUACUGUUUUUAUGUAUAAUUUGUCGCUUACCAUCAAGCUAUUGCCAUAACGGGGCAAACCGCACAACUCAUUGAGAUUCCAAGCUUGCCUUGUGAAACAUUAAUCCAAAUCAGUGGCCAGGCAAGAUGGGGACUAUUCACUCACCCACACAAUCUCAAGUCUACUUUCUUGCCUAAGGAGGUGUGAUAUUUCGAGCAACAUCUUGGCCGAAAGCCAUAGUUGGUUUUCUUUCGAUGCUUUUCUCUCAAGGCUAACUUUCCUUCCAACCACUCAGCAACUUAACAAAGAUUGCUAGUGUGCCUGUAAGUUGGUGCCCAUCACUCGGUAACUUAGUCACGAAUUUUAAGAAUUCAGGAUUACUCUGCAUCGUUUAAAAGUUCAAUAUCUGAUAAAAAUUUGAUAAUUUGGAAAGAGUGGAAGCAAGUUUAGUUAACAAAAGUAUGUGUUCAACAUAAGAACAUAUAAAAGUAAACCAUCUGAUGUAAUUAUCUUAUUCCAUUUAUUAUGACAAGUAAAAAAGAUUAUAUUUGAUGGAGAUAUUUCCCUUAAACUGAAUAUUAGAUGAACUUCUUAAAUUAUCUUCAUAAUACAUAACUAAUUCAUGGUUUUCUUUAUGAUUGUUCAACAGUACAUUAGUGAAUGAUUCAGAGAACUAUUUGGCCAAUCAAAACGGUGUGAAUUAUUCAUGAAUUUUUCAAUUCUGGCACAUAAAUGAUCUGGUAUGCAUAAAACCACCAUGUAUGUACUCUUGAAUUUAUUUUUUUUCCUCAUUCUUGAUAUUAUACAUAAAUAAAUGAUUUAUGUUAGCUUUCUAAGAUCAAAUUCUGUCACAUUUAUGCAGUUGAGUUUAUUGAAAGGUUAUUGUAUGCUGAUAAACUAUACCUUUCAACUGAAGGCAUCUUUACCACAGUAUAGAUAAAGUAAUAUGGUGACAACCUCAAUUUCCAUUAGUGGUCCUAAACUUGGGUUGAUAUUGUGGUUAUUUGUAGGUAGGGCCUUAGAGUCCUUCCGCGUGUCCGGUGGUGGGGGAUAGCUUUUAAUUGAUCGAUCGAGAUCCAUGAUUCAUUUAUUUGACAUGGACCACAUAAACAUUGAGCUAAGGUUGAUGGUGGUCCUCAAAACAUAUAUUCACUACUGUUCCUUUUUGUUUUAGUACACAGACGUGGACCGUCCAUAAUGCAGGUAGUAAGGGGCUUAAUGGUUCCUACUCGAGGUCCCAAGUUUGAAGCCUAAUUGCUUCAUAUUUUCAGCUAAGUUUACUUAUGGGGGGAAAAAGAAUCGAAGCAAGUAGCAUGCUAUCUUUCUCUCUCUCAAUUUUUUUUUAAAAAAGUGGACCUUUGGUGUUUUUUCUUACUUGGUUACAUGUUCCAGACUUUGCUUGGAUCAAAAACCAGCUCUUGAGCUUCCUUCAUCUUCACAUUAGAUCAUUUAAGGUGGAGAGAAUGAGUCAUGACAUUUUAAGGACACAACACUCCUUUGAGGAUACUUUUGCAUCACGAUGUCCUCGUCGCCAAUAUUGGAGUAGAUUCAAGGCUCAAGCCACUUAUAAUUUUUAAUUACUUUUUGCUUGUAAUUUUGGAGCUGAGAAGAUCCUAUUUCUGUUAUAAAUGAACAAAAAAUUGAGAAUUGGAGAAGCAGAAAUAAAAGAAAGACAGCUAUAUUGAAAAAAAAAAAAAGAAAAAAAAAAAAAGUGAUUUUGAUCAAAUGAUGUUGAUUUGUAACUUUGUGCCAGGUUUCUACCUAUAUCACUUUCCAUCAACAUUGUAAUGCUAGACAUCACAUAAUCUCCCGAAGAGAAAGGGCAUCUGAAAAAUUCUUUGAUUGGCCAUUUCAAGAAAGGUUGGACUUUUUAGCGGGUAACAUGCUAUCUAUCUCUCUCAAACAAAAAAAGAAAGAUUGGACUUUUUGUUCAUGGUAAUUCAAAUAGAAACAAGCCCCAUGUUUUCCAUGACCAAUACUAAUAAAUGUGGUGGUUGCAACAUACCCAUCCCUUAGAAUGUAAGAAAACUAUAAAAGACAAUUGUAACCGAUCGUACCUAGCACAGUUAGCUAUGAGCUUGAUGAUUGGUAUAUGACGUCUUAAGUUCGCAACAUUGUUGUUUUACAUUUCUAGCUGAGUUCAGUUCUGAAAACUUAAAUGAAAUGAAUAGCAUGUUACUUUUCUCACCAAAAAAAAGUGUAAGAAAAUUGUAGUAGCUCAUAUCGGUACAAUCAUUUUCCUUUGCACAAUGCAAAUGCUAGGAUUUCUUGUCUAUAUGUAUAACAACUCCAAUGGCAGGUAAUACUCAACAAAAUUCUUUACUAUUUACCAGCUGUGGCAGGUAGUGAGUAGGAAUUUAGGGCACUUUUGUCUUGUAGUCACUGAAACCUAGUUGGUAGAGCCAAACCCUAAUCUCUACACAUGUCAACCCUCCAUGGGAACUAUUUUGUUUGCUGCAGUGAUCUGAUCUAUAGGGUUUCAGCAAAAUAGUUGGGUGUUAUAUACAAUUGUCACCAGCUGAUAAGAGCAUCAGAAAUGACCCCCUUUGCUUAGUUGUCAGUUGUCAGACCAUGGUCCCUGGCACUAUCUUGCUGAAAGUGUGGAUCCUACCGUCCUCGUUAGGUUGGCAUCCUCCUCCUCUUCUGACAGUGUAACCAUCAAAAUAAAAAAGGAAAAAAAAGGCUUGGUUAAAAGGUGUUAGACGUGUCUCGAAUUUUUUAAUAAAUGAGGUUUUCCCAAUCCUAUUGAAACUUUCUGCUUCUGUGUGGUUUUACAUAUGCUUAUAUCUGAUUUUUUACGAUACAAGAGAAUUUGGUGUACUUAAAGGCCAGGAUUUCUGAAAGGUUUAGUUUUCGGGCGAUAGAUGCUUUUGACCCUACCGUGCUCUUUACUCUGUCUUCGCCCGUAAAUGUAGGCUUCAAAGUUUUACGAUGUAAGUUAACUUUAUACUUUGCUUCCUUCUCGCACUCUCGUUUCUUCUUUAUAGUUGUAUUUUCACAAACUUAGAAUUUAGGGUUGGUCUCUCUCAUAACAAAAGAUACAAACAUGGAAGGAGCAACAUAAGGAGAAGAUAUAUAUAUACAUAUAUAGUGAUAAGUGCUCAAAACCGCAUCUUUGGUUCCAGGAGGUGCUAGUGCUGGAAUAGAGGUGUGCUGUGCAGGAUGGAGAAGCAGGGCACGUGCAUUUCUAUCUAACUUACACCAUCUCUUUCUCUCCCUCUCUCUCUCUCUCUCUCUCUCUCUCGCGCGCGCGCGCGCUCGCUCGCUAGAGCGUGCACGCGCAAGGUUACUAUGCUAGCUAGUUAUUCAUGUGCCCAUCUUCUCCAUCAUGCCCACCCCACCUAAGCUGGACAAACCACUGCUGCAAUGGAGAUCGCAAAAUAUUACACUCAAGGUAACCUUCUAUGAAGCUUGGUGUUCUUAAAGGUUUACCGCGUCGCGGGCCUCAAAACACUACAUGGUUCAUCAUCAAAAGAUAAGUCUCUCUCUCUUUCUCUCUUUAUCUGCAUGGAAAUUUCUAAAUAUUUCACUACCAUCUAUUGUAUGUUACAUCUUUUAGCUGUGUUCUUGUUUACAUCAGCUUUUAUAUAUACAUGUGUUGUUUGAUUUCUUAAAGCAAGUAUAUAUUUUGGACUGUUACUCUGCUUAGUUAAAAGAAAAACAAAAGCCAGUGCUUCUUUAAGGUGUUCUUUACUCUUCAUGUUGCAGUCUCUAUUAUCCAAUAUUUAAUAGAUUGUGCGAAUUGUUUCGAUAAGAUUUGUUUGUUUUAUUACUAGAGAUUUCCUCGAACAUACACAUAAAUUGAAAGGAUGUGCUUGACAUGCAUGAAAGAACCAAAAACCAAAGGAAUAUUUGGUCACAUAUAUAUUGUCAUGAUCCUUGAAUUUCUCGGUAACAAACUUUUGAUCUCAAGAAGAAACUAGGGCAUGUUUGGUCCAAAAUGAAAAUCAGAAUCGGAAUAAGAUCGGAAUGAGAAACGGAAUAAUAAAAUCUCCCAACUUGUUAGGUUCAAACUAGUAAUCGAAAUCGGAAUAGUUGAUUCCAUUAUCACUGUUUAGUUAAGAUUAUAGUAAUAAUUUGAACAAAUUUAGAUUCACAAUUUGAACAUACAUCAAAUCUUAAAUUCGUGUUCAAAUUUGAAUUCAAAAUUAGGUAUUGAAUUCACAAUGCAAAUUCAUAUUUAAAUUGAAAUUCAAAAGUAAAAUUAAAUUCAAACAACAAACUUGAACUAAAAUUAAAUUUUGACCAUAAAUUAAAAUUUUGACAAAAAAUCAGUUUUAAUAUUUCAAUUUGUAAUCUAAAUUUGAGUUCAAACUUGGAUGGGCAAUUUGAACUUAAAGUUUGAAUUAAAUCUGAAUUCACGGUUCAAAUUCAAAUGAUAUGAUUUAAAUAAAAAUUCAAGUUCAAGUCAAAAUUUAAAAACUAGAAUUACACGUUAAAAAAAAAUCAAAUUUAUAUUUGAGCUUAAGAAAUUAAAACUUGAGUUUAAAAUUAAAUUUAUGAUCUAAAUUUGAACUCAUCAUAAAAGUCGAAUUUAAGUUUAAGUUUCAAUUCUAUUUGAAUUUGAUUAAUUGGUAGUGGAAAAAAUAGGGGGGACUCUUGCAAAGUGUCAGGAAUCACGGGAGUCAAAAGAAGAAGAAGAAGAAGAAGAAGAAGAAGCAAAUAAGUAAACAAGAUGGUACACAAAUAACGGCAAUUAACGUCAGUGCUCAGACCACAAAUCCAAAAAGCUUUGGAUAUCCCGAAAACCUGAGAUACGUUUGUACUUCUUUCUCUGAAAAUAAUAUAAUUUCUCAUUAUUUCUCUCAAACCAGAUUGCGCAUCAUCUCGGAAAGUGAUCUCUUGCAAUUUAGAGAUGGACGUUAGCGAGUUUUGGUUCAGCGAAACCCAAAUCAAUCCAAAACUCAAGCCUUUUUGAUCUAGGUCCUGUGUGAACUUCUUACUCACCUGUGUAAGUCUUAAAAAUGGAAUACUGUGAUUUUUCAUAGGCAGGUACAUUUCUUGGAUACUCAAGCCGGUAAAAAUAUCAAGAUAUAUGUCUUUGAAUUCAACGUUUCGGUUUUAUCUCAGUUUCCUUAGAGAGUAAUGCUUGUUAAAUUACGUGAAAUAAUCAUUUUAUUUUUCCAAAAACUUAAACUGCUAAAUAACAGUGCUUUUAAUAUUUACAUUCAAUGGCUCAAUGCUCUCCCCUAUGCUUGGGCUCGAAAACUUUUUUUUUAACUGUAAGAUGCUAAUUUAAAUUAAAUAAGAGAAGAUUAAAUAACGCCAUGAGUCUGGCGAGACUUGAACUCAGAAUCUUUUGUUGUGAUAUCAUGUUGAAUUAAGUGAAACAAUCUCUUCUUUUUUUUUCCAAAAACUUAAGCUGCCAUAUUUAAUAUUUAUAUUGGGUGAUCUACUUCUCUAGCUCAAAUGCCAUGCACGCAUGAAACCAAGCAUUUGUGGCAACUGCCAUUUUUGAUCCAAGAGUAGCGUUAUUUGUCUAGCGGGGUAGAUUCUAUGUAUAUUUGCACAGCCAUUUCAAGCAAAAUUUGGUGCCAACAACAGUUGCUGCUAUUCGAAGAUAAAUGUUCGUUAUAAUUCAAGAUCUCCAGUUUUAAUUACAGGUAAAAGUAAUUUACUUGAUUGACAAUUUAAAUUGGUUAAAUUUUUGCAAGAAAAAAUAUUCAGUGCCAUGACCGAGAGGAACGAUAUUUUUUUUUUUUUUUUAAGCUUCUUAUGGAAGUAAUAUGCUUCUCAAAUUUCUCGCACAAUACUGUAGUACAAAUGUCAACAUUAUUUUUUACCAAGAAAUGAAUGCUUUGGGUCUCCUUUAACAUUAUCGUUAUAUAUUGUCCGCAUAUUAGCAUCUAUAAUGUAGGGGGGCUUUAAUUUUAUUCACACUUACACUUCUGUAAAUUAAUUUGUCAAUAUAUCAAUAAUAUAUAUAAAAAAUAUUAUGAUUGGCCUGCAUAAGUUUUUUUUUUUUAAAUAUUAUGAUUGGCCUGCAUAAGUUUUUUUUUUGUCCCCACAUGAAAGAAUAGGAGGUGACUUGAUAAUCGCUUAUCCCAGCGAGACGGGGACGGUGAUGUUAGUCCUUCUAUGUGGGUAGGGAUGUCAAUGGAUAUGGAUAUCCGAAAUUUUAUCCGAAUCCGAACCCGAAUGAAACGGAUAUAUCCGAUGGAUAUGGAUAUAAAAAAUAGAAACCCGACGGACAUGAAUUCGGAUAUGGAUUUUGAUUGUACCCGACCUGAACCCGAACCCGAUCCGAACCCGAAUUUAUUUUGUAUUAUAUAUAAUAUAUAUAUAGAAAUUUGAUGUUAUAUUUAAAUUUGUAUUUUAAAAAUUUAGAUUUAAUAUAAUAUAUUUUGAACUAUUGAAAAAAAAAAUAAUUGUUUCGGGUUCAAAUUUCGGGUUCCGGUUCGGGUUCGGGUUUUGGAUUUUUUGUCGGGUUUGGAUUUUUAAAAAUCCGCCCCGAAUCCGACCCGUUGACAUCUCUAUCUGUGGGUUUUCCAAUCGACAUCCAAUUGGGAUACUCAUAGACAUGUAGGGGCAUAUGGACAUCUGCGCAUACAAAUGAAUUUAAUUUCUAUAAGUUUAUAUACUUUUUCUUAUGACUUUUUUUUUUUUUUUAUUACAGAAUUGUACCCAAUGUGUGCCCCAGCGAGACGAGGGGAUUGUCGUCGGGGUCUGAGGAGUACUGUCCUGAACUGACGAAGUUGCCGUUGAUGUCGAAUGCGACGGUGCCGUUAACUACGGUGAUAUAUGUAUAUGUUGGUAACCCCACUAAAUUUCAAAUUAGAGAAUUUAUUCUAGUCUGUUGAGUUGAGCUCAGAUCAAAUUGCAGUCCUACUGUUUUAUCCUAGCGUUCGAAUUCUACGUUAUAAAAUUCAUAUAAAUAGUACUGACCAUGCAGAGGAGCUGCGAAUACACCCCGUUACGAAUGCGUUGCUUGGGAAGGAAACUUUUCGCGUGGUUUAGCCACAAUUGCUUUAUUGCAAUUCUUUUGUACGAAUCCUGUUACAAAUGAAAUGCGUAAAAGCUGGCUUGUCCUGAAAUAUUAUUUGGCUUAGAGGCUAUAUGACUGCAGGUACAGGUAAUCCACGAACAAGAACAGUUUGUAUAAAUUAUUCAUAAUAGUGCAUUCCAACAUUCAUACUUUUUGUUUAGAAUGUCGCUAUUCUGCUAGCAAGGCAAAAGUAAUAUAAAAUUGAAGUUACACUGCUGCUGACAAGGCACGGGCGCACAAAAAAAAAAAGGAAAAGAAAAAAAAAGUUACAAGAUUUUCUGCUAACAAGAGAGAAGAUGAACCAAGCAUAGCCAAUGAAAAGACGAAAGAGAUGCAGCAAACAAAACAUGCAGCUAACAAGACGGUAUCGCCGAUCAUCUUCCAAUGACGGCAACCAGUUUCAGUGACUAUUAAGGAAGGAUAGAAACACAGGCAAACAUAAAUACAAACAGUUUGACAUAACAGUUUUCGAAAUCCUUUUAUCAACAACCAUACACCAAAUCAGAGCCCAAUGGAACACACUAAAUCUGGGCUAUUCGUUUUCAGAGACGACUAUACACCAAGUAGGGAUCACCUGUAUGAGAGUUAAGAAAAGGAAAAAAAAAAAAAAAAAAAAAAAAAAAAAAAAAAAAAGGAAAGAGAAAGAGUAAAAAAAAUGUGAGCUCUAUAAUACACAAUGAUCUGAGAUCAGUAAACUUUUCCAGCAACAAUACAAACAAACUCUUGCCCAAGAAGCGACUAGAACUUAUGAUCUGAACAAUCUGGAGCUCUUACAAUUGAACGAAGAAGAAAAAAGUACAAGAGAAGAAAAUAACCACCCAAAUACAAAGAAAACUAUUUACAUCUUUUUACCUAAGUAUAAUUAUUUUGUAAAAGCCUCCUAGUGAUGUGUCGGCAAGAGUGGCAACCUUUCUGCAAGAGAGGCUAAUGAAUUUUGAGAGACAUACAAAUUCCACAUGCACGCCGGAGGUGCAUAGAAUCACCAACCACAACGCUGUUAUAGCCACGCUAGCUGGGUCAUUUUUGGGCUAAGACAUUCGAGCUUUUCCCUCCGAUAUUCCCCCCAAGUGGAACUGAUGCUGAAACCUUUUUUACAUUUCAUCUUACCUGGUAAUUAUCGUCGGCAUGGAUUGACACACAAGCAUCGGAGGUGCCGAUGGCGAGAAGUGCUUUGUAUGGAUGGAAGGCGAGGCAGCUCACGGACCCAAUCCUCUGUGCCAUGAAGGUUGGGUAGUAUCGAAUGAAGUGUAGUUGUUCCCCUUCGAGGCUGAAGACUUUGACUAUCUGCUUGGCUGAGCCACUCGCAAUAACUGGUGCGUGGCGGUGAACAGCCAAUGCUGUGAGAGAGCCCCUGUGGGCUUUGAUGGUGAGAUAUGGCUCGGAUUGGUUCCGUAUGUCCAGGAACUGGAUGUCCCCCGCUUGAGAUGCACUAACAAUCUUGCAUAAGAUCGACCAUACAGAUUGGGUUAGGGCAUUUUAUUGCCAUCAUAGAAAUGUUCAAAUCAAUGUCUAAGUGAGAUAUAUUUUCCAGAUAAGCAAGUGCUGAAGCAGGACUAUGUGUCCAGUAAAAACACCAUUCUUGUGCCAUUAACACUAGCAGUGACAAUAAUCUGCAACUAUAUAUAGAAAAUGAACAAGGGCAUUGAUACUCUUCCAAAUAAAAAAGGAAGUACCUUGGAUGAGUCAAAUCCGGGUUGAAAGCCUACUCCUACCACUUUCUCCAAUCUCUCAGUAUGCGGUCUUGCUCUACAGAUAAGCCUGCAAGAUAUAUGAAAGCAGGUUGUAUGGAACCAACAAGAUAGUGCACUCUGCACAGAAGUUUAAUAAGAAAUAUGAUCCUUACAUUUCAGGGGUACGGAUAUCAAAUAUCCUGAUAGAACCAUCCAUGAAACCAGCUGCGAAUUGACCCCCAUGGACUUGCGAGGCAGACUGCAUAGCAGCAGCAAAAAAGAAAAACCAAUAAGAAACCGUAAGUAAUUACAAAUGCCCUGUGAGAGGAGAACAAACUUGACAAUGUAAAACAUAGACAGGAUACAAGAAAAUUAAAAUGUGUUUCAAAACCAUGAACAAUAAAACAGUGGUUGUUUCACUGUACGAGUUCCCCUUUAUAAGGAAAAAAAAAAAAGUUGCAGUACUAUGUACCAAACAUAAGAAAGCAGCAGUUUUAGCAAAAUUAUUCUGCUUGAACAGCUUGCUAGGUAUACAAUCUUGUAUAAAGAAAGAAAUAGUGUGUAACAGCAUGUGAAAGAUGACCAAAUUGUAAGACUGCCCUUGUGCAAGCCUUGUAUUAUAUAUGCAAAUCUCUUGUUGAUUGCUUACCAGUGCGGAGAUAUUGCAAUCUGAGUAUGACGAAAUGGAGCUUAGCAGCUGUUCCUUUUCUAGAUCCCAAAGCUGAAUAGAUGAGGUAUCUCCAGAAGCAUACUACAAACAAGCAACAAUGAAUUUAAGUUCAUGUAUGAAAGUAAUUCAACUGGAACUACAGUACAUCACUAAACCAGCUCAUACCAAAUAACCAGACUGCUGCUGCCAUUCCACAACUGCGUUUGUACUGCGAACACCGGACCUAUUGCCUUGGAUGGAAGAAAAUGCCGUUACAAGCUUCUGUUUGCCCUUUCCAGUGUAAUUUUUCCACACACGAACAUUUCCAUCACCUGUAGGAACACAGGCCAGUUUAUAUCACAAUAUUGGGCUCAUUCAUGAGGCAGGUAAUUAUGAAUAGACAAGAAGCAUACUUGAACCAACUAGAAGUAAGCUGUCAUCAAGCUCAUUUACAAGGCAUAAUUUAGAAAUUCCUCUGUCAGAUAAAUCAUGAUUGUCGAAACUGUUCAAACAUGUACCUUCUUCAUAGUUCCACACCCUGCAUCAUGUUAUCAUCAACUUUUAGCCGAAAAAACAAGUGAUAUAAACGGCAGCAACAACCUUUACCAAUAUAAUACAGUAAAGCAAAUGACCAUCCAAAGUAUGAAGGAACUUAUUUACAAACAUCUUUCAGUUGGAAAAACAAGUGAUAUACACUUAAGCAACAACUUUUACCAAUAAAAUACGGCAAAGCAAACAGCCAUCAAAAGUAUGCAAGAACUUAUAUAUGAGCAUCUUUCAGUUGAAUAUUUGUUAAAUAGGUAUCAAAUCAUGUCAAGGCCAUAAGAAUACAUGGCCUCACAAAACAACAGAGAGAUACUAAAAGCCUUAGAUAUACCAAGUUUCAAACAUUACAUCAAGCUUUAAGAAGUGAUCCAGGAAAUAAGUGCCUCAUUUCAGAAACAUCAUGGGCUCAUAAAGCAACAGAACAUACCAAAAGCCUCAGAAUAUACCAUGUUUCAAACAUUUUAUCAAGCCUUAAGAACCAAUGCAAGAAAUAAAUAUAUUAUUUCAAAGAUGGUUCUUGGCCAAAAUGUCUCACAUAAACCUACAACCAUCGCAACCACCUACAGACGCCCCCUCCCGUUGCUGGCCACCACCAUUGCCAACUACAAAUUUAGAAUAUCUAAAAGAUAGUACGUGAUGAAUUUUUAUAUGGUUAAUGGAAUUUGAAUACGCUUUCACAAUACAAAUUGGCCACCGUAAGAUGGGUGGAGUGGAUAGAAUGAGCAGACUCAGUGCACAUCCAAAUAUAUGCACUAACAAGUAGACAAAUAGGACGGACAUCAGAAAAUAAGUAAUUUCUGAGACGAAAUAUAAAUAGUGAAAUAAAGAAACAAUAUCUAUGAUAACUUUGACCAAAACUAAACAUAUUUUAAGUCAGGAAAAAGAGAAUGGUGAUUAUCAUGGCAUUACUUGAUUCGCUCAUUCUCAUCUGCAGCAACCACUAUAGGUGAAAAGGGUAAAAGCAAUAUGGCUUUUGUACCCAUUUCAAACUUUGUAUCCCAGCUAGCAAUUUGAUUACUUGGUUUGCAUGCUGUUCACAAACAAAUACAAAAAUCUCAGUAAAUAAGGGAUGAAUAGCAUGACAAAAGAAUAUGAGAAAUAGUAACAAAAUACAAAAAGUUGAUUAACUAACUAGAACGCUGGCAUUUGGCAAUGCAGUCGAAAGCAAUUUUUUCUCUUUCCUCUCUCCUAGCCAAGAUUUCUUCAUUAUCAUCAGCUGCCGUAAGAAGUGGCCUCGAAAAGUGGCCACAACUCCAGUUGUAGAUGGCCGAUUGGGGAAGUAAACUGUGUUCUGAAUUGCCAGAAGAUCCAGCUGAACCUAGAAGUGGAGCAGCCAAGCCUGUCUCAGGAGAAUUCAGUUGGUGUGGCCGGAACUCUAAAGAGCAUACUCGACGCAAUCCUGUCAGGUAAUUUUGACGAGGUGGGCUAACAGGAGGCGUUCUAAAAGUCAUUGACAAAUGACCUGCAAACGACCAUUAAGAUUACACAGGAAAGUAAGCAAUUCCAUAGAAAGGCAUAUUUUUGCAUAUAGACCUCUGCAAAUAUGUAAAAUAAUCCAUUACCAGCAAAAUUGGUAUUUGCAUGUGUACCCAUACAGAUCUUAUUUAAUUGCGAGUGCCCCUGCCGGUGGUGCCUAUGCAAAAAAAUGUUGUGUAUGCAUACGCUGACGGCUUUUAGGGGCAUAAGCGUUCAACAUUCUAAGGUAGUUGCAUGAUUUGUAUGUAUGCAGUUUUAUUUGCAUGAACAUUAGGGAUUCAAAGAAGCUACCAGCAUUCAUGUCAAACCAUGAAGAUGAACGUGUCAAUCCAGCAAAGUUUGCUGAUGCAGAUGAAGCUGAUAUCUCUCCUUGGUGUGUAGCUCCCCCACCAAACCUGAUAGUUUUAGUAACCACUUUUUCAAUGCCUAUAAUAGAGAGAGUUCUUCGAGCGAGGCCCGCAACUCUUGGAGAAGGGUCUUUUGCCAUAUUACACAUAGCUAAGAUAAACUGCAGACAUAGCGGACUAUCAAGUGGCCUUGAUCUAGAAUAACUGAUGACACCAUUGCUUAUAUUUUCCUUCAAUAGGACGCCAGAAUCAGAAUGUUGAGAAGAAUCAUCUGAUGCUGGAGAACCAUGCAUAAUGCCAGUAGAUGCAAUUGGGCUACUUGUUGAUAUUCUUCCAUCUCGGCCAGCACCGCUGGUAUCACUCCCAACUCUUAGUACAGGACCAAUGUGGGAGGAAAGGGUGGUUCCACUCUGCAUAUACUGGCUAGGAUAGCCACUAGUUGGAUUACUAAUAUUAGCCAGCGAAGGUAGCGAGGUCAGUAGAGAGUUUGAUUGGGGCUUCCAGUAUUCAGCAGCAAUAGACUUUAAAUGCUUGUUAUGACCAAAGGCAAAACGGGCAAGUGCUGUCACACACAAAGAAAAAGGAUUGAUAAUUAUCAGUGAAAUGAAUUCAAGAAGAAAAGAAAGAAUAAUGCAUUGCAAUUUUCACUAUUAUACGAAAAUGCUACAUCUUCAAUAGAUAAAGUAAAAGUCUACUUGUAUAAACAGUAGAUAAUAACCUCUUGAAGUUUGAUCAGAUAUGGAAAGUACAUGUAGUCAUCUUUAAGUAGUUCCAUACAUGUAAAUAAGGUGUAUUGUCCAAUAUUACAAUUGAGUUUCAAGAAAAUAUCGAGAGCAACAACAAGAUUUACAUGUCACGAAAAAAAAAAAGAUACACAGAUGCACUUACUUAUGAGACGCUAAAGCUCAGGUUUUGCACGAACCUGUCAGUAAUUGAAAUAGUAAAUAGCCAUUGUUGUUUUUAAGUUAAUAGAAGACUACAGAGUUAAGAGUUUGCAAAUAUUUAGAUGAUUCUAGCUGCUGAUCAUAUAUUGUCUGACUGUAUUUCCAUAAGUAGACUCCAACUACCCAAGUAAGCAGUUCUUUCUUAUGCAAUCGGUGCAAGGGAUCACAUGAGCAAUUAAAAACAAUAAGACGAGAUUCAGCGAUCAAUUUCUCAUAAAAGCAAAAAAGAAAAUAUAAACCUGUGCACAUUUCUUAUGCACAAAAAUAUCAAAGAUAGCUAUUACACAGAAACAGUAUCAAGCAGUCAGAAAUAUGUGAAUCAACCUGCAUACCUGCACAAAUCUCAGCUCUAACCAGCGGGCUUCCAUCUGAAGUGAAUUGCAGAAGGCUCCGGACUAUAUUUAGCUCAGCCUUUACUUUUUCAUCAUCAUCACAAUCCUCCUCACCUCCAUGUCCAUCUUUAAAUGUAACAGAUCCAACAUCUAAAAGGGUGCCCAGGGCAAAAACAGCAGAAGCUCUCACCUAGCAUAAGAACACAAGAAACAUUUGUCAAAAUUGGCAUUAGAAAUAAAGGGGUAAAAUGUAUUGAUAGUACCUGCACCAUCUGAAUAUUACAAUCUAAUCCCUAUACUUUUCACUUCAUCUCUUAAGUCACUAACAUUCUUAUAUAUUGCAACUCCAUACUUAGCUGCUGGAAAAAAAAAAAAUUCUGACAACAUGACUUUUUCUUAAAAUGACCUUUUUAGGAACUGGUCAUUUUAAAGGAAAAUCAUAGAUCAUUUUCGUUAGGAAUGGAAUUGCACAUCAAGAUCGUACAGGAUUAAAAUGUUUAAGUGAUAAGUUCAGGGACAGAGACACAAUAUCAGCACAAGGACCAUCCACAACUAAAAAGGUAAGAAACAGAAAUUUUCAAACCUCGGGCUGAGGCUCUGACAACAAAGGAAGGAUUAUCACAGGUGCAUCCGCUUGUAAACCUACUAACUGUGCCUCUGGGAAAUCCUCCCACAGCUUUCCGAGGCACAGACAAAGCCAUUGCAGAAGAAGAGGCUCAGACUGUGGAUCAUGAGGAUUUGCAGGUUGAAGGUGCCUCAAGCAAACGUCUAUUAGAUUUGCUUGAAUACAUGCUUCCUGUCCCCUCCGGUGUCCAUCUACGAUCACUGCUAGAACAAAAGCAGCCAUUGCCCGCUGUUCUGGGAAAGCAUCCAGGCUGUCAAGAAACCUGAUAAAAUAUGCAUGGCCGCCAUCUUUCACCAAAUCAACCUGACAAGACUAGCAUUUCGAAAACAAAAAUGACAUUAGAAUACAUAUAUUUCCAUAUAAAGUCUGCAGGUUGCAGCUUGUAGAUAUUUGGACGAUAAGAAGAGCAAAAGCAAGACAAAAAAAUAUUCUUCAAAGGAAGAUCACCGCAACAACAGGAAGUAUUACUAAACUAAAUCAAAUGAUAAGAGAAGUACCUUAUCCAGAGCAAGGAUCUUGGUCCAGAUGAACACAAGUAUUUGGCGCAAUUCCAUUGCAGUUGUUUGUAGAAGUUUGAGCACAUAAGGAAAGAUACCAACAGACAAGGCCUAAAACAAUGUAUUCCAAAAUGUCAAAAUGCAAAACGAGAAAACAACUUCAAUACUAAAUUUACACCUAAAACAUAAUAACAUAUACCUGAUCCACAGCCCAAGGACCCAUAUCAAGAAACCUUCCAAGAAGAACCAGAGCUCGAAAUCGAUGAGAUUGACUAAGUAAAACCUAGAAGAUUUUCCAAAUUUCAGUAGUAAAAAAAAAAGACUAAUAGCUGAAGAAGAGAAUUUUCUUAAAAGCAGAAAGUGCACCCCAAAACAUAGGACAGACGAGAAACAUAACAAAUGUGUAUUGUUCUGGUGUUUCAACAUUUUCAUGUACUCAAAGGUAUUCACUAACAGUCAAGCGCUGAGAUAAAAUAUAUACUUGCAUGACGUAACAAGUACAAUCAAUGAUGUAAGAGCUGUAGCACGGGCUGUGACAAGCACUUGCCACAACAGUACGGCAUGGGUGUGCCGUGCUGUGUUGAUUUGUGUCGUUCACAAAAAUACCUAUGUGCCAACAUGCCAUGGCAUGAAAUGUUUUUCUUUGACAUCAAGAUAUUCUAAUUGAUUAUUAUAUAUCUUUAGGUCUUUUGCACUUUAUUUAAUGUAACUGCUUGCCAAUUUCAAAGAAAACAUGGUUUUGAACCGUGCCAUCAACACGAGAGUUUUAUCGUGCCAAUAUCAUGUCAACAUGGUAUGGCACGAUGGGCACGGUCCAUGCUGAUGGGCACUUAAAUCCUUACAAUAGUCAUUGUCUGAAUUAGCAUCACCAUAUUCAAUGUACUACAGAAACAACAGUUUGGUUAAGGCCAGCAUAAAAUCCAUAGUAGUACAACACUUUCAAGGUAAAUAGAACCAGCCAAUGACCACACAUUCUAAGAAAUUUAAGUGCUUGGAAAUCAGAGUAUAUGUAAAACCACAUCAUUACAGUAAGGCGUACCUGUAGAACUAUUGGCAGCUGCUCCGGUGGCUUCUUAUGCUCAGAACCAUGAUCAAGCCACACCUCAAAUGCUGUCAAUUGCUCAGUGAAGAAGGGGCUUGGCUGCUUGUUAUGAAAAAAGGUAAAUCAUUUAACAGUGUCAUAACGAAAAAAAUCAUGUUCGGUACAAGCCCACUGUCCUAAGCAUCAAGAAUCUCAGCAGCACACUUCAAGCAGAACUCAGCAACUAAUCAGCCUUCACCCCACUCUAAGUGGUUGCUCGACUUCAUGAAUGAUCGAAAGAGAUUAUAUAGGAUCAAAUUCCUCUCUAAUCACUCAUUAAAAAGUUAAGUUAUGUCCUGCCAUAAAUUAUUGGGGCCAAAGCCAAUACAAUCGGCCCCAACCAUUCAAUUUUGGCUUCCUUUUUAGUUUAUUAACAUCACAUAUUCUCUUAUGAAGCAGCUAUGUGAAAAGACGUAUACGAAGGUCAAAAAUGACAUGGCAAGCAGUGAUCAGGAAAGAUGUAACUACAUUUUGUGCACAGAAGAGCAUAACUCAAAACAUGAUUAGCUGUGAAAGAGGAUUAUAUGAAUAAACAGUAAACAGUAAUAGCAAACAGUACCUGAAACUCAGCAUUUGGAUCAGCAACCAACUGUGGAAGCUUGGAAAGACAAAUUUCAGCUGCCAUGUCCCAUGCAUCCCUGAUGCAUAAAAUUUAAGUGAAUAGAAGGAAAAGCAUGGAAUAGCACAGUAGCAAGCUAAGAUGUAACUAUGUAAUCCUAGGUACCACAUAUGAUGCUGGUGAGUUGAAGGCAUUGCUGGAUAUGAUAUUGGAGAACAGUUUGCAGCUCGCAUAAUUCUCUCAGCAAGUAAGAAAUUUCGAAAGAGACUAGCAACUAAAAGAUCUUGUCUGAAAAGCCUUUGGAACAGAUCUGCAUAGUUUUCAUUUGCAUAAGUAUACACCAAUGAAAACUCAAAGCAAAAAAAAGGUUUCAACAACUAUCUUAAUACCAUGAGGGAGCACAUUCCAUGCUAUUGUGUCAGUUACAGCAGUGAAAAUCCAGUUAAGCUCCCCAAGGAGUGUCCUCCGGUCAUUUUGGCGACCAGGAAUUUGGUCAAUUAGAGAGUAAUCAAGGGAAUCACGAAGCAAUGAACGAGAACAGAACCUGAGCAAUUAAAUAUAAAACCAUUAGCACUCUGCAGGGGGGACCUUCAUGUUGCCCCCAAAACAGCAUAAUCAUUAAAGAAUAAAAAUCAAAUACAAAUAAAUACUUCAAAUAAGAGACUAACCAUCGCAAUGCCAUUUUAAUAGGUGUAGUGAGACAGGACGUAAAUACAUCAGCAGGGUACUCAGCACUCUGCGGAAGAGUUUCGUGUGCGUGGCAGGCAGCAAGCAGAAUGCAGUCCUUCGAUGAAGAUGAGGAGCUAGAUGGAUUACACUCUAGACGCUAAGAAAAAGAAUUGAAACAACAUGCAAACGAAUAUAAAUUAGAAGAAAGCAAAGGGAAAAUAACACAGCAAACUUCGGGGAAAAAAAAAUACACAUCAACAAUAAAAGACAUAGUCAAUGAACAGUACAACACACCUCCAUAAAAGCGUUGAUAAUCAUUCCCGCAGCUGAGCAGUCAAAGACAUAUAUAGAAGGAGUUUUCAGCCACGAAUCAAGAUCACUGAUUUGUAACGGUAUAUAUUGCGUAUAACUCUGUAUUCAAUAGAAACAAAUAUUUGUGUAUAACUCUGUAUUCUGUAGAAACAAAUAUUUGCUGAAAUUUCCAGCAGAGUAAAUAAUGCAGAAAAUAUCAUGGUAAGAUAAACAAGGAAACCUUGUUGAAAACCCAAAUUUCUCCAUUAGCAGUAGGCUUUGGCACUCCAUGCCCAUUAUAAUGAAAGAGGACUCUCUCUGACCUCGCAUAUUUGCGGCAAGUACUGCAAAGCUUCUUCACAUCAUCAACAGUUGGAUCAAGUUGAAGUUUGUAACGAGCCUGUGGAAUUUCAUAAGAUCGUAGACACAAAAGAAAAGGAGCUUAUUGACAUAACAUGACGAGAAUUUAAAUAUUCAAGUGGUUUUUACCUUAGGCUGCCAUCUUUCAUAUUGAGUAUGCAAGGCUUUUCCAAUUGUUUCAAGAGCUUUUGGGGGAGCCAUAGAGAAUGGAUCUGAUAAAAGAUGAAAGAAUAAAAUAAUAAUCAAAAGGCAAAAAUAGCAAAACUUGAGCAUAACGAUAUAGUCAUAGUAAUAUAAUACAAAUAAGAAAGAAAUUUAAAGUAUAACCAAUUUUAUUUCACCCACAAAUAAGUUUGUCUAUCACAAAAAAACUUUUUCUGUUAAACUAGCAGUUUAAUAUACAGUACAUUUUCUUUAACCAACACAACUAAAGCUCAUAUGUAAAGACUUACUUCUUACUGCAGUAGUAAUUUGCAAUAGUUUGAUACUGAUCAACAAAAGUGCUAUACAUGCUGUGGUGAGGAAAGCAUAGCAACAAAUGAGUUUUAAAGGGUAUAUAUAAGUAAGAGUGCCAAAUAUUUUUCAAAAAACUGCUACAUGUUUGGUAAAAAGAAGUUCCUGAAAAAGCUAGACACAGUUACUGGAGGACUGCUUGAUCAAGCACAUUAUUCCCAAGAUUUAGGACUUCUAUAAGUUUUCAAACUAAAAGAACUGUAGUCCACAAAGGCAUAAUAAGAUUGUAAUUUUAUAAAUUAUCCGCACAUGUUAAGCAAGUCUAAACACUGGGUUGACAGUUUUCAAAGCCUAAAUAGUACAGAUAUACUAAGCCAAGAGGAUUUCUCCUCUAAAACCACUUACUGGGCAAAAUUUGUCUGUGGCAGUUGACAUCGUCACAGAGCGCUGAUUAAAAUUUGAUCUUAAAUUUACUUUUUUCUAUGCAAAAAAAAUGAAAGAUUUUAUCUUUGUUGUCAAAAACAGCAGAAAAGAAAUAAUAACAAAAGAAUGUUUCACAAGACAGAGUUAAAACUCCUGCAGAUCAUAAAAAUCCUUGGAGGUAAGUAAAAGCAUGCUCCUUAUUAUUUACUAAUAAAAAUGCCAGAGAGUGGAAACAGCAGGCAUAUAUUAAAGGUGUAAUUAAAAAGAAAAGAAAAGGUAAAUAUGAACUUUCCAGCAAGCUAUAAAUAUUUUCACAAAGAUACAAGCAACUAGAGAAUUGAAAGGCACUAAGAAACAGAAUUAGUAAUAACAAACCUGAAAACAACAGUAAUAAAGUAUAGUGUAAGGAUAUGAAGGAAAUAUGAGUUACACAAGGCCAAGUUUACCUAUCCAGCAUUCCAUUCUUGCACAGGGAGAAAUUUUUAUUACAUCUGGCGGAUCAACACUAAUAUUUAGACAUAACACAAGUGCAACACACCCAGUCUUCAUCUGCACUAUAAAACUUGUUGUUAAACUACUACAAAACAACAGAAUAACAUAUACAAAUGAAGAUCAUUGUAGGAAUCACAGGUGCAUUGCCAUUAGCUUUGAUAAAUGACUGAACUAGUCAAAAUAAAAAAAGUAAUAAUAAUAAAGAAAUAUAGAAAUAACCGACAGUUACAAACAACUGCAACCUAAGGUACUGAACAAAACCUGACGAUAUUGAAGCCACAACAUGAUCAACAAAGCAACAAACUUUAUUUGAAAAUCACAAGCAGUUCAGCUAAUUACAGCUCGAAAAAGUAUUGGUGUCUAUCCAUAAAAGGCAGAUAAAUUUAGUUCAAGUUCAAUUUCAGUUGAAUCAGACAUCAUUUAACUUGAAAUUUUUUGCUACAAUACCACCUUCCCCAGCAAAAACUGUUCAACAUAUGCCACGGAAAUUAAAAAGAUAAUUUUCCAGCUUGUACAGCUGAGAGGAAUUGAAUGAUGCCUAUAUUUGUGUUGGCAUGAUAGGUUACACCACCUGCCAAUUGACAAAAGCCGCACUACGGCAAGGCAACCCCUGACUUAAACAAUUUAGUUUUCAUUUGGUCUCAAUCGUUCAUAGUGCAAUAGUCGAGUCAAUUAAACUAUAAAUUCAUCAAUGUAGUUCAUUUUUAAGGCAGACUAUAAAUUCAUCAAUGUAGUUCAUUUUUAAGGCAGGCUAUAAAUUCAUUUUUAAUCUACAGAUGGAUCCACAAGUGAAUCAAUUUUAACUAAACAAGGACUGGUCGAGUCUGAUAUGUAUCAGUUCACAACUUGAGUCAGUAAAGUAUUUCGGCUAAUAAUCAGUUAGGAUUUAGUUGGGUAUUAUCUUCAUAAAGACUACAUCUUAUGCUUAUAUAUUUACGACUGGUGGUUAUCUCUUUGCUGAAUUAUAAUCUACAAUAGACACUUUCUAAAAAAGAAUUUUUGUCCACAGCCCCUUCUCCUAUAUUCCCCCCCUUCUCUUGCCUUCUUCUCUCUUCUCCUCCUUUCUCACAUUAAUUUCAGUUGUGAAGAACUUAUAGCACAAACCAAGAUCCAAUAAAUAUUUAGUUGAAAUUGUUCAACCCUUUCUUAGUAGAAAGAACAUCUGCUCCUACAGAAAAUUAUCUACGAGAAAUCACUUAUCAUCACUAGUGCUAAAUGAGGGAUCAAGAACUAGCAUAAUUUUGCCAAUUAUCCAUUUUGUAUUAAGAAAUUGAGAUAAGCCUCUAGCACAAAAGGCCUACAGAAACUAAAACAAGAAAAGAAAGUUAUACUCUGAGGGCAUUUCUGGGGAAGCAAGGAUCACAGAAGAAGGAAAAGGCAAUGGGAUGAGCUGUCGAUAAGAAAAGAUCAGUUGGAGGGUAUGAGGACUUUAUGCAAUUAGUCGGAGUAAAAAGGGGCAGGCAAUGCUUACGCAGACCAGUGGGGCUUGCUCAGGUGGAGUUGGAAGAGAAAUAAGAAAGAAUAAGAGUUAUAGCUGUGGCAAUCUUUGCCACACAGGAGAAAGAAGAGAAAAUCUGCUAAGGAAAAACCCCAAACUCAACCCAAAACUCGAUUCUUCAUAACCUAUAUACAAACAGGUAAAAUAGGCCUUUUUUUCCCAUACUUUGAAAUAUGUAAACUUCAGGGAUUUUGCUUAGACAAACCAUCCGAAACAAACAAAUCACCCCAACUCAAAAAGAUUUUGUUCUAUCUUAAUGUUAGACUUAAUAUAAAUAUAUAUAAAAUUCAAUAACAAAUUUGACAAAAAGAAGAUUGCAUUGUGAAGCACCAAACGAGGUUCACAUCAAUCAAAUUAAACAAGCUCACAUAAGGGCAUGAUAUUUGCAUGGACUAACACAUUCAACAAAUACAGGAUUUAAACAUAUCUUGAUUUAGUUUCCAAGUUGCAAAUCCUAACUUUAAACGGGAAAAGGUUAAAUAUACACUUCUAUGGACCAAAAUUAUGCAUGUGCCGGCUGAUAGAAAAUGAUUUAUGCUGCCGGCAUAUAAAUUACAGCUAGUAAGUAGUACAUGAACUCAACCCUGCCCUACAAUCUCAACCCAGAAAAACCCAUACGAACUCCGUCAUAUGAUGAUCAUCUUAGAGCGAGGACAGUACUGAUUUUAACAAUACAGGAACAUGUUCGAAGAAAACCGAUAAUCUAUGCCCCGUGUCAUCAGAUACUAAGAACAAAGCAUUAAAGUGACAAGAUUAACAACUCUGAAAAAUUCAUUAUUUCCCCUCGCAACGCCUUUUUUUCGUCAAAAAUUUUCUCUCCCUUUUUUCUUUUAGUUAAGAGAUUCCACUAGUGGGCGAAAACAUAUUUAUUCUGAAUUAAUUCAAGAUUACACGAGCAUAUCUACAAAAGCACCAAGAAAACAGAAACAUGUGCAUGGAAGAGAAGCAAGAAGAUGAUUCCAACCACUUACCCUAUCCUUGGGCCGCCACUUCGAGACCAAUCCGUUGUCGGGCGGCCCCAACGCCACACAAUUCUCGAAUCCCUCGUGCCGGGACUCACAAAGGACAACGGUCUGCGGCAAGUAAGCGAAGCUCGCGGCCGCAUCCGCCACGGCCGCCGCCGGGAGCCCCGCGGCCUCCGACGGCUCCCUCCGAUGCGCGACGGCGGCGGAGACGGAGGAGGAUGCGGCGUCGCCGUCCUCCCUACCGGAGAACUCAUCCAGGUGGUUAGACACCGACGAAGAAGACGACGGCGAGUACCUCGACGCCAUCAGAUCUCCCAAUGCCAUCUAAAACGACUCCAACCCCAACCCCGACCCCCACCCCGAACCCCGAUAUUCACCUCAUCCAGGCCCCGAACACGACGCCAUCGCCGCGCCGCGCCUCUCCCGGAAUCCCUAGCGAAACCCUAACCCUAGAAUCGCCCGAAACCCUGCAUCGACGAGGCCGAGCGAAGGGGGAGGCGGCGGGGGCUAGUCGACGAAGCCGCUCGACCAGCGGCUCAUGGAGAUCCUGCUGAAGAACGCAGCGCAAUCCAGCUCUCUGAAACCCUAGAAGGGCCGAGCCCCAAAAACCCUAGAAAAAGGCUUCGCUCGAGGGGAGGAGGGUGGGAGCGAAGGAGGCGGAGGGAAAUGGCGGAGCGAAAAUAAUAAUAAUAAUAAUAAAAAAAUAAAAAAAUAAAACGAAAAGGCGAGCGAGCAAAAAGAAAAACGAAUUAAUCCGAUUAAACAAAUUAAUAGGAUCGCAUCGCACACCCCUUCCUUUGCCCUCGAGGAACCCAAAAAAAAAAAAAAAAAAAAAAAAAAAAAAAAACUUUCUAAUACUAUUAUAUUUUAGUCUUUAUGAAAUUAUUUUUUAUAAAAUAUUUAUUUCAUCUUUUCUUAUAAGAGGAUUCGCUAUUAUAGUCUAAGCCGAAUAAUAUUUUUUUAAAAAAAACUUUCUAUGUAUCUUUUAUCCAGAAAAUCUUUCAAAAUACUAUAUAAUUAAGAGCAUAAACUCCUUUCGAAAAUCUUUUAAAUAACAACCAGCUUGAGUUUUACAAUUAGUUGUCAAAGAGGAUUAAUAAAAAUUGUCAAUUUUGUAACAAAAAAAAAGUUUUUUUCACUAAUUAAAAAGUAAAAUAUAAGAUAUUUAAUAGGAAAGAAGUAAAAGUGUUCAGUAAAAAGAUUAUGAAUCAAAUGCCGAUAGUGAUAUUAUGCAAAGAAAGUUUAUAUAUCUAACCUAAAAAAUUAGAAAUUAAAUUAUUAUAGAUCGUCCAUAAACUCCUUAGCUAUUUAUAUUCGGUUAUUAUUUUUUCAACUUUUAGUAGUUCUUUUAGCUAUUUAAAUUUUCUUGGCUUAAAUUAAAAGCUCGUUAAAACAAAAUAUUUUAUUAGUUAUUAGCCGUUAAAUUUUAGCAAAAUUUACACUUUCAUCCAUUAAGAAGAAAUUUAAAAAAUAAUUUAUUAAAAAACUAUAGCUUUGGGAAAACUUCAAAUACUUUUAAUGAAAACAACAAUAUAUAUAUAUAACAAAAAUAUGAGUGUGCCAAUCGAAUUAAAAAAAAAAAAAGCAUAAACUUCAAAUACCAUUCAUGUGGUUUCGUACUUUCUCAUCUUAUUACCCUAUGGUUUAAAAUGUAUUAACUUAGUAUCAUGUGUUUUAUUUUUUUCUUUUCGCAAGCUCCUCCGUUAACAUUUCGUUAAAUUAUAUACAAAAAACUUCAGAUACCCUGUCUAAAUUUAUCGAAUAUACAGUUUAAUAUCUUUUAGUUUUAACUUUGUCACUUAUUUAACGAAAAAAAAAUUGACGAAAAGAGAAAAUGAAAUCACGGGGUACUAAAUUGAUACACUUUAAAUCACAUGAUACUAAAGUGAAAAAGUAUGAAACCACAAAAAUAAUAUUGGAAGUUUAUCCAAAAAAAAUAAGGCCAAGGAUCUGUUGUAAAAUGCCCUCCAGUAAGGGGUGUCCCUGCAAAAAAAUUUUCCAUUUUGGAAUUUACAUAUUUUUAGGUAUUUUUUUCAUCUAUUUUGUGUUUUAUUUAUUUAUUUAUUUAUUUAUUUUACGGUGGUUGGCGGUAAAAAUUAAGGUGAAAUUUUGUUUUGGACUUUGGGGCGGAUCUGGCCUUGGGACCGUCCGAUCAGAAACGGACGGUGAUGGAGGUGGGUAGGCGAUGGAUGACGUGGCAUCUGACUCCGCCCGAGUUCGUUGCAGGCCAGCUCAGCAACCUGCAAGCGUCCAAUGAGAAAUAACUGGAGGCAGCUAAUGCCCCUCUCUCUUUUAACCCUCCGUUUUUGCUGUUAUUUUCGAAAUUGCCCCUCUGUAGGAUUCAAAUCAACCGUUCGAAUUGAGUUUCAGAUGGAAAGCGUGGCGUGCGAAAACGAGAAAUUUUCCUUAAACCUGGUGUGCCACGUCAGCGGUGCAGCAUACAUCUUCGCUUUGAUUUUUUUUUUUAAAGUUCCAUGAGUGUUUCUUACGUCGCUUAACUAAUUUUACUUAUUACGUGAUAUAUUUAUAGCUGGAUAAAAAUUUUAUCGUGAUGAAUUAGUAAUUUCAAAAUAUACACAACGGAUCACAAUAUUAAACUGGUGGAAGGAGAAGUUGCAAGUUUCGACUGUAUAAGAAUCAGUAAUUUUAUCUCAUAGUUCACACAAAGACUUAAAUUUUUGAAUUUUAUCGUUAUGAAAAUAUUCUUCAUAAAUAUGAAAUUUUCUGUCCGAUCCCUAAUUCUAAAAUAUAUUGUACUUUAAUUUCUAUAUUUUUAACUUUUAUAUUUAGGUCCAUAAAUUCUAUUAUUUUAUUUGAAUCAAAAUUUAUUAUUAGAAAUAAAAAUUAUAAUAUCAACAUCAAAUGCAUGAGUAGCAUGUUAACAAUAAAUUCAAACUCAUGUCAAUUUUCUAAAAUAUUAAAAUAAAAUUUGAUUGAAAAUAAGGACUAGAAUAAAAUAUGAUAAAAUUUGAGGGCCAACAAGGCAAUAGAGAAUUUACAUGGUGUUUGCUGACGUGUUACACCCGGUGUAGGAAGGAAUUCCAUUCAGAAACUAGGCUGGGGGAAAUCUCGAAGAUCUCCUUUUUUGACGGAAAGAAACAUCACGUGCCAAAAAUGUGGGCCCCGGUGAUUUGGGGCACUGUGAUUGGUUGUUUCUUAUUUACAAAUAAAAAAAAAAUAAAAAUUAAGAAGUUCUGGAAAAAAAAUAUAUAUGGGGAGAUCCUAAACUAAUUUUACUAUUUAUUUAAGUGAAUAAUAAUUAAUAGUAGAGAAUAUCUUUUGAUUUAGCAUCUUACAUGCAUGUGAAAGAUUCUAAAUUAGUGUUGUUGUUGUUGUUGUUUUUGAGAAUAGUUAGGGCUUUAAGAUGUCCAAAUUAAAAUUUUGGUAAAAAUUUGUCAUGGCACCUCGACUUUUAGCGUUUCUGAUAUAGCACCUCAAUGUAAUUCGUUCAAUUGAUUGGCUCGGUGAGUUUAAUUAUCGUAAUUACUUUUUAGCAAUAAAAACUAUUGUUUUAACAAUGAAUAUUACCAAUUCUAACAAUUUUUUGAUUUUGUUAGCUAGAAUAACGUAAAAAAAAAGAAGAAAAUAGUAGUUGAGAAGGUGUUUUAUAAUGGAGAUGGUCUUAGUACACCUAAAAUUUUUAAAAAUUAUACAUGGUGGUGUGUAGUGAAAGUUUUUAACUUAGUACUUCUUUUGGAGGGUUUGAAAAUUGUGGACUUCGUGGUCAAGCAAUAUGCUCGAAAACUAUUUGUCGUCGUCCAAAGACUCAAAAACUCGUUGUUUCUUAAGUCGAGCGACAAACGCACUUUGUCUCUUCUUGAUAUAUUAAAUUCCCUUGUGGUGUUUAUAUCACGUUGCUUUAACUCAAUUUUAUUUCAAAAAGAAAGAGGGAAAAAAGGUUAAAAAUUGGAAUGAGCGGAAUUCGAAAAAAUGAAAUGAAAAAUAACAAAAUAGGUAGAACGUCAUUGCCUAUUUGAUCAGAAAUCCUGGAAUCGUCUUUCUCAUUCUUUUGAUCCAAAUUCAACACCUAUUUGUUCGGCGGAUCACGAUAAAUGUGUUUGGUCAGAAUUAUCACCUCUUCUAUGAUUUAUACUUCUAAAGAAACAAAUUGGAGAGAUUUUGGUGUGCAACUAUAAAUCCAUAGAUGAUGCUACGCAGAGAAAUUACUAAGUUCGAUAAUAAAACUACUUAAUAAAUUAAAAAAAAAAUUGCCCCAUUAAAAAGUGUCUGAAUUAGCCAAAAUUUUGCCAUUUGCGUCCUCGUGCAUACGUAAUAGUAUUAUACUCAUGAGUGUGACAUAAAUAGCCUUAAUUUUUAUUUAACCUUCAUAAACUUCUUAUUUACUCUAUUAACUAUACCUACUAAUUAAAUGUUUAAUCCAAUCCAUGUCCCUCUCUUAACAAAGACAUUGGUGCAUGGUUUGCUUAUCUAAUCAACACAAAAACUAACGCCUUAUUAAGUGUGGGUAUUUAUACGUCAACGCACUCAAUUGAUUCACUUUAUUAGUUCAAAGAAAGAUAGCAAUGUUAUGAUUUUUUUUUAGAAAACAGGUGUAAAGUUCAUUGAUUCUCAAUUCACCAUAAAAUAAGAUGGGGUAACCAUGUUUAAAAUACUCUUAAUGAUCGAAAGCUUUUCUUAGUUUUCUACCUUAAAAAAUGCUCGAGAUUUUUAUUUGCCAAAUGCAUAAAUGGUGCUUCUUAAAUUACUUUUGGUUAUUUCUAAUAUAAUCUACCACUUUUUGUAGCAGUAUGGAAGCAGCUCCAAAAGCUAUGUUAGAUGCCCAUCGCUUAGAGUAAGAAUGGAGCUUGAGUUCAUGAGUUCAGGUGUUAGAAUGCACCAAGAACACGAGAUAAAGAUUUAAUCACAACAUGCAAUCGAUAGUUUAAUUUGAAUUAAUAUACACUUAAAAUUGUGUGGUGUUUUUGAUAUUAGCUUUGUUGCCAUGUGGGAUGAUCCAAGAACGCUUGCAAAACCGGCAAUUCGAUCCGAUUCCGGUUCUCGGAUACGUUGGCUAUUCGGUUUGUCAGUUUUCGCUGCCCUAAUAUUUCCAACAAGCUUUAAUUUGAAAAUCGAGAGAUCAUGAACAGGUUGUAUGCAUGUCUGUAUAUAUAAGGAAUUUCUGGGGUUCCUCUCUCUCUCUCUCUCUCUUCCCCCUACAGAUUUUCACUUUCGCGAUAAAAUAUCGUAAAAAGGAAGGGAAAAAAAAGAAAAAAAUCAUAACUAGAAGCAUCCUAAAGUGGUUAAAACUUAGAGCUUAUAAGGUUAGCUUUUGCUCGCGAUAUGCAAAAAGCAAAAGCUCAUCUCAUAAUUUCAAUCCAAUUAUCUAAGAAAAAAGACUAGAAAUACAGAUGCACCAGGUGAAGGCAAUAAUUGUAGAGCAUUCGAAUGCGGUGUUAGCGAAUAAAUUAGAGAAUCUAACAAAGCUGCUAUAUGCUUUUCUUUGUGUGAAAAUAUAUAGUACUAGAAAUAAAACCCAGUGAUUAAUUAAUUUCUAAUCUUUAGCUAACUCAAUAUGGUCUAGAAACUAAUUUGUUAAUUACAAGUAGUAUAUAUAUGUGUGGUCCAAACCACAGAGUGUUAAGUGGCAUUAUUUAGCGCACCGAGAACGGUUAACCACAUGUCUAAGUCGCCGAAAGUUGUUAACUAACCGAAAAAGGUGAACUGUUAAAGCAUGUGAAGCCAAGCACAAUAUGAUUAACCCAUCUAGUACAUUUAGUUUAGAUGAUUAAUGCAGCGUUAGAUCUCCGCGUGAAAAGGAAAAUACAUAAAAAAAUAUUUAAUCAAUACUUCUUCUACGUGUUUCUCGCCAAUGAGAACUAUGGAGAGUUAGAAAGUUGGGAUGAGUUUUCAGUAAAUCAUUGGCUCUUCUGUAAACUAAUGAGAAAUUAUAUAGUCAUUUCUUAGUGAAACCCUAUUUUCAACUAGAAAAAAUUGAAACUUGAAUAUAAUCCUAGCAACAAAUGGCUAGCUUUUGUUUCCGCUUUGACUCCAAAUGACAUAAAUAUACGGUUUCAUUGUUUGGAUCUGUUACAUUUCCUACGUAUAUAUGUUGUACAGCACUAUUCAGAUAAUGCUUCAUCGAACAGCAUUACGCUCUGCUGCCGAUUCUUACACUCUGUGCUCAUGAUCAUACACAACCCAUGUUUUCCACCACAUCUAAUUAAAGCCUCCCUUUUUUGUGUUGUGAUCUGGAGAAGCAUUGGAUGCAUAAGGAGCAAUGAACAUGUUUUGUGGCUCACAUGCUGUGAAAAGUUAAUAAAACAGAAGGGCAACUUGGCCAACUAGGUUAAAAACCCCACCACACAUGCACUUCUUACUGGAUGUGUGGGAAAAAGGAAUGGACAAAUGGGGAAGGAAACAUGUGUGCUUCUCUCAUUAGCUGUCAUCUACUAUGUGAAGUAAUAUAUUGUGAAUGACAAUUUAUGAAGAGCAACUCAACUGUAUGUCCUUCUGAAAUUGACCCAUCAAUGAUUUUAUCAAAUUUUACGUACUCCAGCUAUAUAUUUUUCAGCUAAAAAAGUGUGAAUUAUUUACUGAAAACUACGACCGAUAACUCUUUUGGGGUACGUUUGAUCCGACAAUGUGGUUUCUAGUUUCAUAAUUCAAAACCUUCUGCGCUGCUGCGCUAAUAUCAUAUUAAGUUAUGUGAAAUAAUUACUGGUCUCCAAAAGCUUAAGCAAGUAUAGUGCAAUGUUUUUGAAACAAAACUUUUUAUGUCCUUUAUUUUUUUAAGUUUUUAAUUUUUAAUUUUGUUUUUCUUUUUCACUGCAAAUGCCACAUGGCUUAUUAUGAUCAGCCAAAUUCACCUGUGAGUUCCAGUUGUCACCCAUGGCCCCAUGAGGCUUUAAUGAGACCCUUUGCCUCUUCAUCUUAGCCUCAGCAAUGUUUAUUUUAUCUUAUUUUUUAUUUCAUUGUAUAUAUUUUAUCUUUUCAAGUUUGUGUGUCAUGGACUAUUCAUAAAUGUAACUUAUUCACACUUCAUAAAAGCAUAAUAACUCAAAAUUGUGUGUGACACUCCAUUAAUUAAUAGUUCCCAAUUCAUUGAUGAUAGCAUCUUAGUAGGGCACGUAAAAGUUUGGGUCUCAACAUGUUUAAUUAAUAUAAUAAUCAUAAUAUAAGCACUUAAUUUCAACCAGUUGGUUAGGUCCAUCGAGAUCUCGUUUACGUACGUACCAUGCAGAAGAAGCGUAUUUGUUCCUAAGAAGAUAUUCAAAUUAGUACGUAAUGUGUUUUUCGUUUAACAAAAGAGCCGUAUACAUGAAUGAAAUACAAAAAAACGUAAUUUUUAGAUUAGAAAAGACAAUCCUAAACUAUGAAAAUUUUAACACAUUUAAGAGAUUAACAAAAUUAAGCAUGUAAGGAUUAGAGUAGGUCUGAGGUAGAUGAUCACUUCAGAAGUGGAGGGUCGCAAUAUAUCUCCAACUCUCUAUACCAAUUGGAUAUAUAUAUUUUUUAUAAAAUUCAGAGUAAUUUAAACACCAUGAAUACAUUCUGUUUUAUUUUUUUCUAAAAUAAUUUUAUUUUGAGUUAAAGCUCCAUACCAUUUUUUUUAAAAAAAGGACCUUUGAGUAAAUAUUUUAGAUAAGAAGGGUUAAAAGCUGGGGUUGGGUCAGGGCCCUUCACGUUGAAUUCGAGUAAAAUAAAUGCACAUUCGAGGCCAUUCCAUACGGUGCCCAAAACCUCAAAUGAUCGCAUCGAAUCAUUCCGUGCCCGAUGCCACUUCCAAUAUCCACCGUCCGAUCGCAAUAAAACGGCUUAAAAUACACAAUCUUAACCAUCGUGUACUACCACACAUCCGCAACGCAUGCAAAACCAAAAUAUAACAUAUAUAAAUAAACAGUAGCUUUUUUUUUUUUUUUUUGAUUUCGCUAAGAGAAGUUAUUUAGAAGCAAGCAAAAUUAGUUUUUUUUUGAGAAAAAUGCAACAUGCUAUCGCUUUCGUUUAAUUUUUAAAAAUAAAAUUAGCUGAAAAUAUAAAAUAGUUAGACUUCGAAUUGCAAAAUUAGUUAAUAUGAAUUAAUAAGAGUAUCAAUGUAGAUCUCCAAUAUGGACAAUGUUUAAAGCAACACGUAAAUGAUAGAGGAUAUCAAUUAGAUGUUACAUCACUAUUUAAAGGUGCUAAAACUGCGAGAGAUGAGUUUCAAACAGAACUUGCCAAAAAAGCAAGAAGAGGAAAUAUGGUUGAUUGGGAAGCUGCAGUGUCUAUAGUGUUAGGGGUGAUCAUGAGGAAGAGCAUAUACAGGUUCCAAGAAGUGGGCGAGAUCGCGGCGGAGUGCAUGUCCCUCUUCGUGUCGACCGUCCGAUUCUCCAGGAUGGUUUAUCGCCGGCCGAUCACGGCCUCGAUUCGGGAGCCGGUGAUCUUUUGGUUUGAGUAGGGAUAGGAUUUGAUUCAGCUCAGUUCCCUCAAUAUUGUAGCAACAGGGAGUAUAUAUAUAUAUAUAUAUGCUUAAGAGUUAGUUUCAUUGAAUAAACACAGCAAAAUUAUAUCCUCUUCGUGAGAAAGUUAUUCUACAAAAGUUCUUUUUAAGCAAAGUUUUUUUGAAUUGUUGAAAUCACUUUCUUUAAGAAAACAUUGAACUACUUUGGGGCAUAUCUCAACUUCUUGUUCUCCUGUACCUUCUUGGAUAAUAAAUUAGUAUCUAUACGGUGCGAGCCACUAACAAUAAGAAAAGCUAGAGCGACAAGAAAUGUCCACAAAGUAACACCUGCUAUAGAAUUGGAACGAUUACCGAAUCUAAUUCAAGAUAACUAAGCAAAGUUCACAAGGUUCAUGUCAUCUCCACAAGUUCAGGGGUUUUCAAAAAGAUAAUGAGACAACGAGGUGCUGUCUCAUAGUAACUUAGAACUCUUAUUGCUCCUAAGAACCCCCAUAGAAAGCAAAUACACAGAGCGUCAGUUCACAGUUUAGAUAAUGCCAUGUCCAUCACUUCGGCGAGAAAAUCUGUAGCAAAGAAAGUGAGGCAUAUAAAUUAGAUAAGUUAUCCACAAAUGAAAGAUACCAAAACUAAGGAACAGGAAAUAAGAGAAAGAAUUGUACUGGAAUCUUCUUUUGUGAAGCAUAGUGGCGGCGUUAUUCUAAAGACAUUCCCAUGGAAGCCGCCCUUCCCGACCAAAACACCCAUAUCUGUUGCAGGAAUCAAAGAUCAUAAGAAGAUCAUCUAUUGGAUGGUAGGCAAUAAUAAACUAUUAAAGUUUUAUUUGAGCAAACUCGCAACUUUUGGGACCAGUUUUCGGAACGACAGCUCUAAUCAAGAAGCAGAAGUUCGGUAGGCAAAACGACCGUUUGGGUCCCAAGAUCAGAAGCUCCAAUUCGCGCUUAAGCCGGAUUUACCUUUCAUUUGUUCCAUGACAUGCAAGAUCUCAGCUUUGGCCGGAGUUUUCUUUUCGUGGUCAGUUACUAGCUCAAUUCCAAGCAUCAAACCUCGUCCCCUCACAUCGCCAAUAACUGAUAGAACACCAAACAUGGGAAAAUUGAGUAAACCAAGAUAUGUUUUAACUUUUAACAGAAAAGAUACAGAGCUAGAUGCAUUAGAAAUAGAAACAAAUACUUACUUUCAUGCUUUUCCUGUAGUGCUAUUAGUCGAUCUUUCAAGUAAGAACCGACGACAUGUGCGUUCUCUUGAAGCUUCUCUUUCUCAAGCACUUUAAGAACAGCAUGCCCACCAGCAGUGCAAACAGGAUUGCCGCCAAAUGUAUUGAAAUAGCUUCUACGAGUCAAAACCUGGGCGAUUUCUGGAGUUGUAACAACUGCUCCUAUAGGUAUCCCAUUUCCAAUGCCCUGAUUACAUAGCACUUAAAACCAUGAGAAAUUUAUCAUAGAAGAGAGUACUUAUCUAAUGAAUGGACAAAACAUGCUAGAGAAGAGAAUACGAGUCUCAGCAUUAAAAGACUGUUUAGUGAGUUGGAGCUUGACCAGAAGUGUUAUUUUAGUAUAGCUGAUUGAAGAAGCACUAAUAGUUGUGCCAUUAUGUCCCUCUCCUUCCAGAAACAACUUUCCUCUCUAAUAAAAGCAUAAGCUCCAAUUUGGAGUUUUUGUGUUUGAAGCCCAGCAUCUCAUUUCACUCCCCGAUUUAGCAGACGCUAGCAACUUCUCUGUUUGUUAAACGCCUGGCUUGUACUUCUCUAAUAGAGAAGCUAUACCAGACGUCAUACCAAACAGGCACUGACAUAACGGCGAGACGCUUACAUAAUAUUCACUCUUGUUUGUACCUUUGCCAUGGUUACUAUAUCUGGCACCACUCCAUGGGCCUCAAAGCUCCAGAAAUGGCUUCCUGUGCGUGCAAAUCCUGCCUGGACUUCGUCGGCUAUACAGAGGCCGCCAGCUUUCUUUAUUGUGUUGUAUACAGCAGGCAGGUAACCUGGCGCUAAUUCCAGUAUUCCCCCAACUCCCUGCCAAGGUGUAGCAUUUCAGUUUCAAAGAAUUCUAUCUGCAACUUAAAUAAUUAUCUAUCAAAUUUAAAGAAAGCAAGUUAUAUCAAAACGAGAGAGUUCUCCUAUAAUAAACAAAAUUUUAACGAAUAGUUAAGUAGGUUGGAUAUGAGAGAUUGGCCGUAUGGAGGCAAUGUACUUGUAUAGCUUCUGAAAUGAAACCAGCAACUCGCCCAGAAGUUCCAAAUUCGAUGAUUUCUUGAACAUCUCUGGCAUACUUUUCACCAUCUGAGCCAAAAGGACCUCUAUAUUGAUCUGGAUUCAGUGCAUGGUGCACUCCGCUCUGCAAACAGCAAAACAUGUAAAAUACCGUAGUUAUAAACUUCGAGAGGACCAACUUGUUAUGUGCUAUGGAUAAGGAUCAUAACUCCCAUAAGUACCUGGACAACAUUAAAUUUCCAGUUGCAUUGGGCGGUUGCACCCAUCGUUCCAGCUGCAUUCCCAUGAUAAGCAUUUCUGAGUGAAAUAAUAUCAUGACAACCAGUGUAAAGCCGAGUGAUCAUCAUUGCCAAUUCAUUUGCUUCAGUUCCCGAAUUCGUGAAGAAAACGACCUGCGAACGUGCGACAAACUCGUAAAAAGUUCAACUACAUACAAAAAGCCUUACUUUCUAAAGAGAAAAAACAUGUGGGAAAAAAAAAGAGAAUAACCUUGAGAUCACCCGGCAAUUUGGAGGCUAACGCCUCUGCAAAAUCGGCAAUAGCAUGGUUGAGGUAUACAACAGUGGAAUGCUGCAGCCGUUUCGUCUGAUUUAUAACAGCAUCAAUGACUUCAGGAUGGCAGUGGCCGCAGCAAACGGUGGCAAUACCGCCGAAAGCAUCGAGAUAGCGCCGCCCGUCUUCAUCGAACAAGUACUGCAUCUUCCCAGCGACGAUGUUCAACUGCACAAAUGCCACCAUUAAUCUCAUUUUCAAGAAUUCACCAGAAACUGCGCUGCCAAAUUCUUAUCAUCUGACGCUAUACUUACAAAUUUCGAGGUAAAAUUGAAAGUAAGGUACAAAUGCCCGUUCAAAAAGUAGCAUAUUCGCUGCUCUUCUGUUAGUGAGAAGAACAAACAUUUCGACAGUUUUAAGUUGCCAGAUUCGAAAGUGAAAAAAGAAACAGAGCGAAGUUUAUAUGCACUAGUGAAACAAAUAUUCAGUGGUUUAAAAUUUGACUGUUUUGAAUGUUUAUGAUAAAAUAACUCGAGCAACAAUUAUCUGUUUUCAGAGUCUCUUACAACAAAAUUCACGAUGAUUCGUGUAUAAAUCUCACGUAAUCUACUCCUUUUACAAGAGUGACUUAUUCUCCUGUUAUCAGCCCAUCAGUCUAAGGAUUACUUGCUUUAAUAUAUAUGCUAAGUAUGGAACUAUUAUUGCUUGACGGUGACAUAGAGAUCUUUAAAAUAUGCAUUUAUCACUCUCUCAAGAACUAUACAAGACACAAGGGUUGUGAAACAACCGUUGUACUCUAAGAGCUUAAGCUGUUAGAGAACGGUGUUUAAAUAUUUUUAUAUUUAACACUCCCCCUCGCGUCUGGACUCGAGACAUUUUUUAGUCGGCCCAUAACGUGGGCUUGAAUUAAAUGGAAGAAAAUUAGUAUGCUAGGAGCCUGGCGUGACUCGAACUCAGGACCUCCUGCUCUGAUACCAUGUGAAACAACCGUUGUACUCUAAAAGCUUAAGCUGUUAGAGAAUGGUGUUUAAACAUUUUUAUAUUUAACAAGGGUCAGCAUACAUUAAAUUUAUAAUUACAACUUCGUAUAAAAGAAAACAGUAUAUGAAAGAAAGAGAGAUACAGAUCCCUAGUAUCAGCUGGCGUUAAACAAUAAUUCCAAAAGUUUGAGCCGGUAAAAAUAUACAAGUAAUUCAUCUAAAGCGUAUAAACACAGCACUCAUGAGUCUCGAUUGUGAUUCGAUCCAAUCAACCUUUCGCUACUUUGAACAUAACUUGUCCCAAUUUGGUCUCUCGCCAUUUCGAACGUGAUAUGGCUCAAUCCGGACUCUUGCCACAAGGACAAGAUGCUGACCCAUUUAAACCAACGCUAAUUACUACUCUAAAAUCCAUAAGGAAAAUGGCAAACAGCUGCAAUACACACAGCAAAUAACCGAUUUUUUCUAAAAACCCAAGUUACUGAAGAACAACCUUUUAAUCAUUUAUAUAUUCAACAAUCUCCUGACAUAUAUAUAUAUAUAUAUAUAUAUAUAUAUAUAUAUAUAUAUAUAUAUAUAUAUAUAUAUAGUGCGUCUGGUAUGCUUCUGGAAGCUCGGAACGCUCCAUGCUUCCAAGUCGUUUUCGAUGUUCGGACAUUCGAAUCGACGAUCAGCUCCGUUAGACUUGAUCUAGAGUAUUUUAAGUAUCGAGAAAAUAAAUUUUGCGAUUUUUUAAUAUCAUUUGCCUAGUGAUCGAAAUAGCUCAAAAUCAACGGCUGAAAAUAAAAAUGUUACAAAAUAUGAUAAUAUGAUAUUAAAAUUUUAGAUCAAAAAUAUUGAUCUUAAUUUAUAUAGUAUAAAGAAUUUUCUAUCAAAAUUUCGCGUGAUUUGAAUAUUUCUAAACCAUUAAACUUGCAAACGGCUCACCACGGCCAUUAAAAUUAUUGAUUUUGAGCCCCUUCAAUUACUAGAAAAUUAUAUCGAAAAAUUACAAAAUUUAUUUAUAGGUACUUCAAAUACUCUAGAUCAAGUUUAACGGAGCCGAUCGUCGAUUCGAAAGUCCCAAUAUCGAAAACGACUUGGAAGCAUGAAAGGCUCCGUUCUUUUAGAAGCAUACCAAGCUCACUAUAGUAUAGUAGCCAUGGCCUAUAUAUAUAUAUAUAUAUAUAUAUAUAUAUAUAUAUAUAUAUAUAUAUAUAUAUAUAUAUAUAUAACAAAAAAACCUUUUUGUUACUUUUAUUUACUUAGACAUAUGUUUUUUUUUUAAAAAAAUAAUAACUAAAAAUCGUCCUCAGACCCACUCCACUGAGCAGCAGAGAUUGAUCGCAUGACAAGCUCCUCCUAGAUUCAAUCUCGACCGUUGAAAACGACAGCUCGAUUGAUUGAACGCGUAUAAACCGUCCAAAUCCCGGACUACACUCGAAACCUCACAAUAAUUAAACAAUAACGAAACAAAAUAAACUUAAAAAUAAAAUAAAAUUUACACGACAAAAUCCUCACCGAAAAUUAGAAAACUCACAAAAUUUACUUCUUUUAAAAAAUUAAAAAUUAUGAAAAAUUAUGUUGACCGUGGGAAUAUACGUACGGGGUUCUUGUAGAAGUAGAACAUGGAGGGGCUGAGGAACUCGGAUCGCUUCCGGAGGAUCUCGGCCGCUCGUGGCCCAUCGUACGGCGGAGGGGCGUAGGCGAACGGGGGCAUUUUGGGAAGGAUCGCGCCCUCCUCGCGGGCCGCGGCGAGCCCCGAGCGGGCCCGUUUGGGGCCCAGAGUCGAGUAGAGCCUUCGAAAGAGGAGCCUCAUUUCGCAAAAAAAAAACAGAAAAAGAAAUAUAGGCCCUUUUCGGGAAGGGCGAUGAAAACGUUUCUCGCUCUAGGGGUUAUGGUUGUUCCCAAAAAGGGCUCGGUAAUGGAGGAGGGUGAAGGGGAAUACUCUUCUCUCUCUUCUCUCUCUCUCUCUCUCUCUCUCCUUUUUUUUUUUUUUUCCCUCCCUUUCUCUCUCUACGAUCUGUGUAAUGGGGUGGAGAAACAGAGAGGAGCGGAGGGGGUGGUUAUAAAUGGGAGGAGGAGAUCCAGUUCAUCAAAAGGAAGCUUUUGUAAAAUGACGAAAUUGUCCUCAUUUGUUGAGAUAAGACUACGGGAUGAAAAUAGAAAUUAUUAAUUUCCAUUGUUGUUAUUUAUUUUAUAAGAAUAUAAUUUUUAUUUUUAUUUUAGGAAAAAUUUAAAAUUUCUCGUGUGAUUUCGCACUUUCUUAUUUUCGUACUCUAUGGUUUAAAGUGUACGAAGUUAAUACUCUAUGAUUUCGCACUUUUUCACUUUAGUACCAUGUGGUUUCAAAUGUACCAAGUUAGUACCUUGUGGUUUUAUUUGUGUAUCAAAUUAGUACAUUGUGGUUUCAAUUUUAUCUUUUUAUUAUCCAUUUUGGGGUAUCUAAUUUAACAAAAUAUUAAACCACAAGGUACUAAAAUGAGAAAGUGCGAAGCAAUAGGGUGCUAACUUGAUACACUUUAAACCACAUGGUAUUAAAGUGAAAAAGUGCGAAACUACAGGAGGAAUAUUUGAAAUUUUCCCUUUAUUUUAUUAAAGAAUAAUUAAAUUUAUUUAUUAGUUCAAUCUAACUUUGAAUUUGGGAUUGACUCGUUCCAAAAUAAACUAUUCAAAAUUCUUUCACAUAAACACCUCCCUCUCAUUACUUCAUCAUCACUCUCCUCUCUCAUCAUUAAAACCCUCUCUUAAAAUUCUAAAUUUUUAUUUCAAUAACUAAUCAAAUAUUUUUGAAUAAUUCGUUAUUUCAUUUCUCAUUUCUAUUCGAAUCAUGGACCAAACAUGCCCUUAGAGCUUAUUUGGUUCAUCUAUUUUAAAAUAUAAAAUCAAAUAAAAUUUAUUGAUUCUGAUAGUAAUUAUUUGAUUUAUAGAAAUCAAAUUCUAAUUUUCAUUAUAAUUUGGAAUUAAAAUAACCCUAUCCAUUUAUGGCUCAAUCCGACUUUUAAUUCCACAUUAACUCGUUCCAAAAUAAAUAACUCAAAGCUCUCUCUCAUAAACAACUCCCCCGUUUCUUUUUUUUUUCGCUCUUCUUUUUCUUAACCAAAACUUUUUCUUAAAAGUUUAGAUGUUCAUUUCAAUUUUUAUUCUAAUAAUGAACCAAAUAUUUUUGAAUAAUUUAUCAUUCUAUUUUUCAUUCUAAUACCAUCCAGUUCUAUUUGUCAAUAUAUUCCAAUUAUAAGCCAAAUAUACCCUAAUUUUUUCAUUAGAUAGAAAUUAUUCACUACUUUUCUUCCAUAAAUUAUCAUUAAAAAGGAAAUUUUGUUCUCUCCAAAUAUUCUUUUCAUAAAUAAAACAAAAAUGGGACGCUGCUCUGUAGUAUUAAAUCUCUUGAAGCAUUGAUUUUAGGCUCCAUCUACAAUUGUGAAAGUAUAAUUUUACCAUUAUAUGUUUAAUAUAUAUUAUAUUUUUUUAUAUAUCUUUUUAGAUUUUUAGUUAAUAAUAUUAGAUAGAGCUCCAAACCCAAUUAGUUCUCAACACAAGUAAAAUAUGACCAAUUUGCGUAAAAAAAUUUACUAGUUUCGAGCUUUUGCAAAAAUAGACCGUUUUUUUGGAUUUUACAGAUUCGGAUCGAAUUUUCAGAAAAUUAACGAAAAUACCUUCUUUUUUUUUUUUUCUCUCUAGCUCUUUUUUUUUCUUUCUCUCCAAAGAAGACGACGGAGCCGUCCAGAGUCUCUGGCCCGCGCGCCCUCACCCUCGCUCGUGCACUCCCCUGCCUUCCUCACCUCCAACUCCGUCAAAGCCACGCCGUGACUCUCUUUUUUUUCUUUUUUUUUUUUUUUCCUCCGACCCUUCAUCACCUUCCCAACUCUUUAUGAUAGUAAAGAGAAUAACGCCGAAUCCUCUUCCUUUUUUUUUUAUCGUUUUUUUUCUCUCUUCGACCCCCUUCCACCACCUCUGCGAUCCUCCACAACGGUAACAAAGACAAUAUCGUGUCCUCUUCCUCCACUUCUAUCGGCGUAGGUACCGACGUCGGCACCAGAGAAGAAGGAUUCAAAGUGAGCGUGAGUGAGAGUGUAGCUAAAAAAAAAUGCAGAAAAAAAAGAGAAUAAAAUAUAAAGAAAACUAUUUUUUUCUAUGAAAAAAAUUAAAGAGAAAAAAAAGAAAAUAAUAAAAUUGCACUGUUUUUAGAUAAACGUUACACUGUUUUAAAAAAAACUUAUACUAUUUGAGAGAAAAAUUACACUUUUUUACUCAAGUUGCGUUGUUACAACUUCAUUAUCUUCUUCUUUCCUUUCUAAUUCUUUAUUUUUCAUAUAGAAAAAAUAUUUUUUAUAUUUUAUAUUUUAUAUAUUUUUUAUUGGCUCUGCUCUCACCCGCGCUCAUUCUAAGUUCUCUUUCUUUGGCACCGGUAUCGGUGCCUAUGUCGGCGAAAUUGGAGGAAGAGGACGUGGAGCGCUGUUCUCGUUACCAUCAUGAAGAGUGGCGAAGGCGGUGGAGGAGGGCGAAGAGAAAAAAAAGAACGGAAGAAGAAAAGGACAAGAGAAGAAAAAAAGAGAGAAAAAGGAUGUGACGCUGGGCUCUUUAUUAUUGUAAAGAGACUGGGAGGCGGUGGAGGAGGGCUGGAGAAAGGAAAAAAAUGGUCAUAGCACGGCCUCAGUGGGGUCGGAGGCAAAGGAAGCUGAGGGGUGCGCAAGCGCAGGUGGGGGCACGUGGGACAGAGGCGAGGCUGGACGCCUCUGCCUUCGCCGUCCUCUUCGGAGAGAGAAAAAAAAAUUGUGAGAAAAAAAAGAGAGAAAAUAGAAUAAAGAUAUUUUUGUUAGUUUUUUAAAAGUUCGAUCCGAAUCUGUAAAAUUUAAAAAGCUGAUCUAUUUUGCAAAAGCUCGAAACUAGUGAAUUUUUAUACAAAUAGACCUUAAAAAUAUUAAAAGCAAUUACUAAGUGAAAGUUUUAAUAGAGUUUGAGCUUACAAUAUGAUCUCAAAUGGGCCUGCGUUACGUGGAGGAAAUAUUAACCCAUUACAAUUAUAAUUUACUAAAUUAGCUAAAAAAUCGUUGUCAAUUGACCCUUGUCACAACCAACUUUUUGAGUUUGUCAUUUUAUUGUGUCCAUGUAAUGCGGUCCACAUUUUUUCUUUUUUGUUUUUAUUUUUGUUUUGUUUUCGUAUUGGUUAGGUGCAUGAUGAAAGGGACAAAAGGAAAAAAAAAAAAGAAAAAAAAAAGUAGCAUUGUUUUGUAGUUCAUUGAGUGACAAAGUGAAAAUGAUAAUAGAACUUUGCCUUGGUGGAAGGGUUGGUGAAGUUGCUAUCUUAAUGCCUUAUUAAAAAAUUGGGGUUGGAUUAAGAGUACACUAAAAAAUUAUUAUGUGACAUUUUAUUUUGAUAACAUAUUUUAUUUUUAAUUAUUUAAAAAAUAUAUUGAUCUUAGUUUUAAGCAAAUUAAAGGAGAGUAAUACAAUAAAAAAAUAAAAUGUGCCAUCACAAUAAUUUUUUUGUUUAUAGUAGAGCCAAACUCACACCAAAAAAAAAAAAACACCUUUAGUGGAGGAGUUUCCAACAACGUCUCAUUAAAAAGUUUCGAUCCGCUGUCAUAUGUAAUAUGUUAAGAUUGUUUUUAUCUACAAGCUGUAACCCCUCUUUGGAGUUUAUUUUCUUUUCAUAUUUUAGUAACGAACUUUUAGAUGAAGCAAAACUAACGCAUGACAGUGAACCAACGAAACAUUGUUGAGGUCCUCGAUGAAGUUUUAUCCAUGUAAAAGAGUGAUAUGUAUUGGGUAUAUAUCUAUUUAGGGAACUUUUGAGUUAAUAGUAUCAUGCCAUAGCUUUUUUGGUUACUAACCAACUAUCCUUUAAUGCAAAGUGACUCAAUUUCCCCAAUUGAAUGCAAUUCCUAGAGAGUGUAUCCUUUUCCAACGAAAACGAGAUCUAGUAUUUUUAGAUAUAGGUGCCAUAUUUGUUAAUUUGCAUUUAAUAAUAUUUUCUCAUAUUUUUUUACACUAGAAAUUAAAGAUAAAUUUACUUUUAGAAUUGUAUGGCAAAAAAACUAAAAUAAUAAACUCUUUAAGACAAUACUUUGAUGAGUGUGUUAGAUCCUAAUUAACAUAGGGUGUAAUAUUGAAUAGAAUUUUCAAAUCAAAGAUCAAAUUUUUAGAUAAAAAUUGUACGAGUAUCGUCCGCAAACUACUAGUUUCUAGUUUGGAGACGAUGCCGAUGAGCACUAUGUGAUGAGCGCGCGCCCAUCUCUACCCUCUUUCUCUUCAUCUGCUACAUUCUUUCUCUUUCUCUAAAAAAUUUUUCUUUUGUUUUGCUUUCAUGACGUAGGUUCACCACGCGACGCCAAUUCGCAUCGUCCCAAACUAAUAGUUUGGAAGCUGUGUCCAUCUAAUUUUUGGCCAUAUUUGUCUAUUCCUACGAAUAGACAAAUAGUUUCACUUGUCCAAACAAGUGAGAGUGCGUCCUUUUCAUACACGUGGCCCUCAAAACGUGUGCAAUGAUAUCAUCCCUAGUUCUUAUUUUUAUACGAUGUGCAGUGAUAAGUUGGUACAAAUUUUCGGUCCACAGACAUGUUGCAAGCACAGUACAUUUUGUGAAACUCUGGUAGAGACGACAUUUUCAAAUAAAAAUAAUUUGAACUUUUGCUAUUGUUAAAUUUAGCAUAAACAUUUUAGGCUUACACUAUUUUAAAUUCAUUAUUCAAUUUUAAAAAUUCUUUCUUUACUUAGAAAUAGGGGUGGCAAUUCAGUUCGCUGUUUGCGAGCCAGCUCGUGUUUGAGCCUUAAGAUCGAAUCGCUCAUUUGGUAAAACAGUCGAAUGCGAGACUAAAUUUUUCAGCUCGUUUAAUAAACGAGCUGAAUACGAGCCACUUUAUCUGAUUUAUUUGCCGGCUCGUACCCUUCUAAUUGGAGGCAUAAAAGAAAAACAAGUCAUUUUUCUUUCUUUCUUUCUUUUUCUCCUUAAGUUGACUUUGUUUUCCUCAAUUUUUACUUCUUAAACUCGUUGGAGCUAGUCUGAUUCCGUCACAUUUUAAACUAGACUCAAGAUUAUUAAAAGUGCUUAUAAAUCUAAGAUAUCUGAUAAGAUAUCCAAGCCAACCAAAACUAACUCAAUUAGGUCAAAAUUAGGUAUUCCCAUGAGCCCCAAUCUACAUAUGGUUUUUUUUAUAUAUAUAUAUAUAGAUUGAGUGUUAAGCUGGGCCAAAGGGAUACAUAGUGAGUGUUUGACAUCUUUAUUAUCAUGAUGUAGUAAUAUAUUAAUAUAACUGUAUGCUACUUACUAAAUAAAAUAGAUUAGAUUAGAUUGGAUUAGAUUAAGUGGCAUGAAAUUGCGCAUGACACUUUGCGGAGAAUCUUAUCUGAUUGAAGCUGAAGGAUCCCAAUCAUAGCUGACUCAUCCAUCACAAUCAUCAUUUGACAUGGGCCUAAUUUGUUUAAUUUUCUUGGAAAAUGAAUACAUUAUAAUUUUUUUUUUUUUUUAGAAAAAGAUAACAUGUUAUCCGCUUUAUUUACUUUUGUUAAAAAUAAACUUAGCUAAAAGUGUGAAUUAACUAGAUUUCAAAUUUGGAACCUCGAGUACCAACGAUCAAAUCUUUGUCACUAGUGCUAGGAGCGGUCGAUCGGUUAACUUAUUCAUUGUAGGUUAACUUUGUACACAAAAAAUGUAUCUUAAACAAUAGAAAUAGGAAAAUGAAUAUUUAAACCAAAGAAAAAUUUGCCUUGGCCAUAGCAUAAUUGCCAUUACUAAAACCUCCCGGGAGAGUCUCUCCUACAGAGUUUGUGUGCAUAAAUCAAUUAAAAAAUUAUAUAUAUACUGUGCGUGCUAACAUAUCAAGGGCCUUAAACUUUGCACAAAUCUUCACGCAGUGUAAUGACGAGAAUGGGCCUUGCCCAGUUUUUUAACUUGGUUUUGGACUUUAGCCACAGUAAAUAAAAGCCUAAAAACUAUGUGACGAGUCGCAAAUAGCAGUACAAAUGGGCUGUGAUAACUAGAUAUCGAUCUGACCCGACCCGACCCGAGCCAUCCAAAUAGUACAAACAAUGCCAACAAACUACGGCCCUUUAUUUCUAGCUCAUGGGCCAACAAUAACUACAAGCCCACAAGCAGUUCGUGGGUCCCAUCGGCCUACUUUUUGUGGGAGCAAAUUUUACGUCUAUAUAGGGUGACAUUUCGGUUCUCAAAUUUUAUUAUUUUAUCAUAAUUUUAAGUCAAAAUUUUGUGAUCAACAUCUACAGUAUAAAUUAGCUGUCCAAAUAUAUUGUCGCAUCAGCGACUCGUCAUCAUUCAAUCAGCUAAUAACUGUGGAUGCUUUUUGAGUGCCCGGUGUGGAUCAGGGCUUUUUUUGACCGAAUAAUUUGACUUCAUUAAAGCUGCGGGCAUUAGUAGACGUAGAACAAACUGCUCGAUCGGUAGCAAUUCGCGCGCACUCCCGGCGAGUGCGGUGGCGGUGAUGGAUCGGCGCUUUGCGGAGCCGAGCCGCGAUGGCGACAUGCAUGUGACGUGCGUAGUACGUGAUCGAGUGGUGUGUGGUGGGCCCCCACGUACGCAUGCACGUACACUAGAAUCUAGCUACGUCCCCCUCCCCCCCUCCCCUUCUCACCGCCCCAUGCGUGGAGGUGAACCUUUGCUCCUGCUGCAUGGAGAGAGAGAGAGAGAGAGAGAGAGAGAGAGAGAGAUUCUGGACGGAGAAAGAUAAGGAUUGCUCUUCGGUGGGUGGGUGCAUGGGUGAGUGAGAGGUGUAGCAGAACUAGUUCCAUGUUUUAACUCGGCUAAAAAUAUAAAAUAGCUAGAUUUUUGAACUUAAGAACUCAGAUACCAACCAUAUAUCAAGUUUUUAACCAACUACGCUUGGUAUAUAUGUAUAUAUAUAUGGUCGGUGAUAUUUUAGUGUUUGCUUUGAUCUUUUAAUGAAGAACUUGAAGGAAAAUUAUUUCUCAGAGAAAGUAAUGUUAUUUAUACGUGUGAAAAUGAAUGCAAGUUUCACAGCUUCUCUAUUCGAAAAAUUAACUAAUUUUUCGCACUAGUUUUAUCCCAUUUCUUAUUUUCUUAAUUCUAAACACCCGAAAAAGUUUUCUGGAUCGGUUGUGGAUAAAAGAAAUGAGAUUUCGAGCUUUAAAAUCAAAAGUUUUAAUUUGGUAUUUCAGAUUCCACUACCGAAGUUUUAUAAUAUUAAUCAAAUAGCGUUUUCUUAAACAGAAACUAUAUUCUAUAAAUAGCAGGGCCAAAUUAAAAUCCUAAAGAUGCGUUUGGUUCGAAUUAUGCUGGUAGGAUUACAGGCAACCCUGUUAGAAUUACCGUGUUUGGUUCACCCGGUAUGUAAUCGGAUUGUUAAUAUAACAUCACAAGAAUUACACAAAAAAUAUUAACGUGAGUGGGUGUGUAUCUUGCAUUACUAAAAGUCAGUAAUACUGUAUAUUAUGUAAAAUGAUAAUUUUACCCAUUUAACUCCUGAAACCCUUUCAAUACGUCAUUUUAAAAAAAUUAAUUUAAAAUUUUGAAUUGUCAACUUUUAAAUUUUAAAUUUUGAAUUUUAAUUUUAAAAUUUUAAAUUUUAAAUUUUUAAACUUCAAAUUUAAAUUUGAAUUUAAAUUUUAGAUUUUAAAUUUCAAAUUUAAAAUUUAAAAUUUAAAUUUCAAAUUUAAUUUAAAUUUUUAAAUUUCAAAUUUUUAUUUUUAAUUUUUGAAUUUUAAAUUAUUAAAUUAUUAAAUUUUAAAUNAAAUUUGUAUUUUAAUUUCUGAAUUUUAAAUUUAGAUUUUUAAUUUUUAAUUUUAUAUUUAUAUUUAUUUUUAUAUUUUAGAUUUUAAAUUUAUAAAUUUAUAUUUAUUUUUAUAUUUAUAAUUUAAAUUUUUAAUUUUAUAUUUAUAUUUAUUUUUAUAUAUCUAUUGUUUAAGUCGCCGACUCAUAGACUCAUAGUUAUGUAAAGCCAAACGCCUCUUUAGAUGCAAGUUUGGGGCCGGGCUAUGCCCAGGCCCAACAGGGUAGUGAAGUAUCCUGGGGGCCGGGGGUUUGUUCUCUCUCCUUUUUUUGUCAUCUUUCAAUUGAUUAUUAUUAUUUAUUAUGUAUAUGCACCCUUUAAAUGCUAUGUGCUAGAUAGUGCACACCUAGAUAGCAAUCUUUAUGACUCUCGUCAUCAUGCGUGUUGGAUCGAAGUGUGACCACAAAACUAUUGUGAGGCUCUCCAAGCUAUAGAAUCAUGACUUGUAUUUCUACUCGCUUCGUUUAUUUUAUUUAAAGUUAAAAUAUGUUUUUUUUGUACUAUACAAAAUAAUUGAUUUAUAUAAAAGUUUAAGCUACCAAAAAGGGUACAAACGUAUGUAGCUAGGGAACAACAACGCAAUUUUGUGUGUGAACUCAAUCCAUUAGAAAGAAUAUUAUAUCUAGGAAAAUUAAUUAGUUACCAACAUAGAAUUAAUGGUUUUACCAAAUAUUUCAUCAGAUGCUAUUUUUAGCUUUAAAGCAACCAACCACUUUUCCAUACUGGCCAACAAGGAACCACAUAUCCUCAUGGUCACAGCCACAACCAAGACCCAUCACAAUCCACACUCAUUGCUAUAUUGUUACCACACGCACCCCUUCCAAUAUAAAUAAGCAACUCAUUCACUCCCCUUUCCCUUAAGAUCAUCCUCAUGACCAUGCCUCUUCCUCCUCCUCCCCCUUCUUCUUCUUCUUCUUCGCUCCAAUGGCUAAGCUUAGUAGGAACACUGUGGCUUCAAUCCAUCAACGGCGCGAACUCCGACUUCCCGGUAUACUCAUCGCAACUCAAAGACCUCAAACACUUCUCUCAAGUCCAACUCAACUUCCUCGCCUUCGCCUCCGAUGCGGGGAAACUCUUCGGAUGGUCUUCUGGGAUCGCUGCAAACCACCUCCCUCUCUGGCUCGUCGCGGUCAUCGGCGCCGUUCUCGGGCUCAUCGGCUACGGGCUUCAGUUCCUCUUCUUAGAAAACUCUAACCUAUCCUACUGGCACCUCUUCAUACUCACUUCCCUAGCCGGAAACGGCAUAUGCUGGAUCAACACGGUGUGUUACCUCAUAUGCAUCAAGAACUUCUCUUUCGAUUCUAGGGUUGCAGUAGGGAUAUCCACGAGCUACGUGGGCCUAAGUGCGAAAGUGUACACGGUCGUCGCAGAAGCCGUGUUCUCCCCAAGGGCUAAAUCUAAAGCUAAGUCCUACCUCCUCCUCAAUGCAGUUACACCAGUUCUAGUCACCACACUAGUCGCGCCGUUUCUUCGAGUCGUCGACGCGAAGCACAAAGAAGGGAAAAGAGAUCCUGCUUUCGUCGCGAUGUUCGCGAUAACGCUAGCAACCGGGGUUUGCGCCGUGGCGGGGAGCAUCGGCUCGGCAUCGCCAACGGGGUUCUCCUCGAGAGAGCACAUGCUGAGCCUGGGCGUGCUCUUGGCUUCUCCUUUAGUAGUUCCCGUGGCUUUUAAGUUGAAAGAGAGCAUAAGCGACAUAUGGGGGGAGAAGAGAGAGAGGAGAGUGCACGGCUUAAGUGUCGAUGAGAUAGAACUAGGAGGAAGAGAGAGAGACAUGGAGGAGGAGGGGAAAAAGGAACAAGAAGAAGAAGAAGAAGAAGAAGAACAACAACAACAAGUGGUUGUGGCUGAGGAGGAGAUGAUGAGGGGAGGAAUAGUCGAAGGGGGAAUAGAGGAAGUUGGAGGGGUUAAGAUGCUAAAAAGGGUGGAGUUUUGGUUGUACUUUUUGAGCUACAUGUUUAGUGGGACUCUAGGGUUGGUGUUCUUAAACAACUUGGGUCAAAUAGCCGAGUCGCGUGGGCUCGGUGAGACUUCCACUUUGGUCUCGUUGUCGUCCUCCUUUGGCUUCUUCGGGCGCCUCAUUCCCGCUCUCUUGGACUACUCCUCCUCCAAGUAAGAAACUUAUUUUUUAAUUCCAUGCAUGCAUGCAUGCAUGCAUGUGCUCUAAAUAUUAUCUACUCCUCGCAGUGAGUAGUCGAUUUAAUUCACUGUAGUCCAUAUUGCUUGAAAAUUCAUGUCCUGAUGAUUUUUUUUUUUUUCCGAUCAUUUUCUCAGGGCUAAGUACAAGGUAUCAAGGUCCUUAUCAAUGGCAAUACUCAUGGCUCCAAUGGCUGGGUCCUUCUUCUUGCUCCUCAACUCAACCACGAUUUUCUUAUACCUCUCCACCGCUAUCAUCGGCGCGUGCACCGGCUCCGUCACAUCCAUCGCCGUAUCCGCCACCUCCGAGCUCUUCGGCAAGAAGCACUUCGGGGUGAACCACAACAUUGUUGUCACCAAUAUCCCCGUUGGGUCCUUUUGCUUUGGCUACUUAGCUGCUUUUCUCUACCAAAAAGGUGCUGUUGGAGGAAGCCAUAAGUGCUUCGGGAGUGGAUGCUACAACACCACCUUCAUUAUUUGGGGCUCCACUUGUUCUAUAGGAACUGUUCUGUGUACAAUACUCUACGUACGGUCUCGGAGACUCACGUUACCUAAGAUUAUUUAGUUAACAUGUUACAGAUAUACGUACGUAUACCGUAUAGCUAACUUCAGGUGAUACUCCUUUUUUCUGUUUUUUGAAUGGGUUUUGAGUGUCACCACUUUACAAUCUCAGGUUGUGGAGUUUUUAAUUUCAUAUGUGUUUAGGAUAGCUCUCAUGUGAACGAUGGGUUUCACAAAAACAGUAUCAAGUGAAAUACUAAAUAUUUAUAAUUAUGUAUAUUUUCUUGCUGCAGCAAUACACAAAAACAGUUGGUAAGUACAUGUUGUUUAACAUUUGGAUCCUACGUCACUCUUAUGCAACCCAAAAAAAAAAAAAAGAAAAAAAAGAAGAAAUGAUCAAUUAACUAUGCCUACUUUACUAUGCAUAUGCAAAUGAAUGUAUGGAUUGAGUACUCUGAUCCAAUAAUUGCUUGACCAUUAAAACAGCUUUUUUGACUUUUUUGAAAAAGUUUUGUUCGAUGAAUACAAAAAACAUAACAAAUCUAAAAUCCCUACUAAUUCGUACUUUUUUUUUUUUGUUGGGAGAUUACAUAUAUUUAACAGAGUUCUGCUAAAUAUUUGAUGAUUAGAUUGAGCAUAACUGUUCAAUCGUCAAAAACAUUAGCUUGUGAAUUAUAUAUAACACUUUAAAUUAUCCCUUAAUUUGGGAUAUAUUGCACUGUAACUUAUGCGAAUAUUAAUUAAUCGGGUGACGCGGUGAACCGGUUUCAGACACUAAUCUCUAUGCUAGAGCUAACUAAUUGCUUGGUUUAUAAGAGGUCAAUCAAUCAUUUUUUUUUUCUUUUUUUUUUUAGAAAGAAAGAUAAUAUAUAUGCUAUCUGUUUCGUUUAUUUUACUUAGCUGAAAAUGCAUAUGAAAUAAUUAGGCUUCGAAUUUAGAAUCUUGAAUACUGACUAUCAUAUAUUUUGCUACCUGCAUGCGCUAGAAACGGUAGGUGUGAACCAAAUAAUUAAUAUAUUGGCACAUCCAUCUUUUUCUAUAACGAACUUCAAGAGAUUAGGUUAUGCCACACUAAAAGGACUGAGACAACUAAAGAAAACUACAAAUUUUAAUUCCAAGCCAACCUCAAUUAAUUUCAUUCCACCAGAGAUUUUUAACUUUCCCUUUCCUUAAAUCAUAAUCAAACAGUUAUCUAUCACUAGUAUAUACAGUACUUAUAGAAUGGAUUAGAUUAAUUCGCAGGUUUAUGAUGAAUGGUUAAUUUUCAGGAAAAGAACAAAUUAACUAAUGUCGCUUUUCAACUACAAGACAAAAACAUUUAUACUAAUUAAUUGUGGCUAUUAUUUGGUACUUCUCAAUCUAGCUGUUGAAUAAUAGAUUUUUGCAUAUAUAUAUAUAGAUCUUAAAACUGGUCGGUUUGAUAUAUGCUUGUGGUCCUUUUAUAUCAACUUCCCUAGCCACAUAAUAGUAGCAGUUAUCGCCAAGCUAAACCUGGUCCACAUAAAAUCUACCAUUCCUUAUUUAUUAAUUAAUCACAUCUUUACUUUUAUUCCUCACCAUUAUUAAAGAAAACAUAUAAUUCCAAUGUUUUUUAAUUAGCCUUGCUUGUCUAUUUUCAGUGGCAUGCAACAGUAUUUAGUUUAGCUUUUUCAUGAAAGUUUAUAUUAUGUUUUUUUCUAUUGAAGCAGAACGCAAAAGUGUGAGUGACUUUAAUAUCCAAAACUUUAAUUAAUUUGGUGUUUUCUAUACUACUAUAAAACAACAACUUUACAGUGUUUCUUUUAACAAUACUAAGGCUUAAUUUGGUAUUGAGGUAGGCUUAGUUUGGUAUUGAGGCCUAUCUAACGCUAUUAGAUAAAAUAGAGUUGAGGAAAAAGUAUAUAGGGAUUUGCUUCUGCGUUCUUCGGUGGGACCGCAGAAAAUAUAUCGUAACCGACUCAUCGCGAUAUGCAGAACGCAAUAUUACGUACGUACGGAAACAAACAAGAUAUUUUCCAACGUACUUUCUCACCGCACGUAACGCAAUCCCCCGCAAUCCCAAACAAAGCCUAAGUUGCACUUUAUCAAAUAAUCUUACGUAGUGGAACAGACCAGAUUAGUCCUUGAAGUAGUGAAGGAGGAGAAAAAUACUGGGUUGAUUGGAGAGUCUGCUUCUGAGGUGGUGGACCAGGUCCAGGGGAUUUCUUUCCCACUAGCUAGGAGAAAAUGACAAGCACUUUUGGGACAAUCAAGAGAUGGUUAAGAUCUAAAGAGAAUUUAACUUGGAGCCUUUUCUUCUUGCACAUGGGUGGGCAUUUUCACUAUUAAUCAGCCGAAAGCAAAGCGUACUAUAUGCAUUGCAACCAUAAUUGCUUGGGGGAGCAUCUGGUGACAGGAAUAAUGAGGAUGUUGGCUAUGAUUUAAUGCCACAACCAAUCAACCAAAAUUAGUAACUCCAAUUAAUAAAUUAGAUCUAACAAUGGUCCAGAAACUUAUUGACCUGCUUGACCCUGCUGAAGCUUUUAUAGAAGUACUGCAUGCAUGUACAUGCACUAAAGAUUAACAGUUUGAGAACAUCCAAUAAAAUUAUAGCGAAAUUCUUUGACACCAUUGUGGGUGUAAUGGAUAUAUACUUAAUUACUAGUAGUAAUCUUGUUUUUGAUGUACUUAAAUCCACUAAAUUUCUCAAGAUUUUCUCAUGAGCAGCAAUUUAGUUAUAUCUUCGGAAAAAAAAUGUGGAUAUGAAGUAAUGGUGCGCCAUUAGACUAUUUUCAUCCUCGCUCACGAUGAAGAGGUGCCUCGAAAUUUGAUCCGUCGACAGUUUCGUUGUGUUAUAAAUUUUUGGAAAAAUAAAUUGUGAAGGAAAAAUCGAUGUUUGUGGUAGGUAGCGGAGGGCUCGGGCCUAUAGACACGAAUCUGAUCCGAUAAUAAAGAAUCCUUAUGAAACUUUUUUGAUCCAGUGUUUGUAAUCUUGUACUAUUCUCUUUUUCAUAGUAAAGUUCUUUCAUUUUUCGCCCGUGAUUUUUUAUUUUUCUGUAAAAAAUUUUUCAUAUAAAAUUUUGUAUUUAUCUUAUUUUUUAUUUAUGGUUUGUCUACUUUACGUUCAUCGUUUUCAUUUCUGUUUGUGUGUCGUAACAGUUAACUACGAUUUUGUUUGUUGAAUUGAACAACUUCUUUCGCUGCGAUUUAUUUAAAAAAUUUCCUGCCUAUAUAUAUAUUUGUCCUUUUUAUAUGGUGCUCUUUAACUUUGAAUGAGAACAUAUGAAUACCUUCUCUUCCAUCCAUGACUAUAUAGGAUAGAUACUGUGUUAUAGGUCAUGACAUAGAGUAUACAAAGAUAAAACAAGAACAAACUUGUCUUUUGUACCUCCCAUCACACUCUCCAUGGACCAUUCUUGCAAUAUCUCCACAUCAUUGUGUAUCCUUUCUCUCACAAAACAAUGUAUAUCAUCUCUCAAGAAAAGCUCCAAAGAGUAUUGUAGAUUUUCUACCCUGAAGAAAAAGAAGGCUAUAUUGCAUAAUUUCUACGAUGAAUUAACUGCGACCGUUGACUGUAAUAUAUGAAAAAUAUUAUUAUUUAAUAGCUUAAGUUUUUAAAAAUUAAUGAUCAUUUAUAUUGUUAACAUGAUAUUAGUAGAAUAGAAGCUUCUGAGUUCAAGUUCAAGUCCUACUAGUUCUUAACUUUAUUUAAUUUUUUUCUAAUUAAUUAUUUUAUCUCUCGGGCUCAAAUAUAAAGGAAAGCGCUGAAGAUAUAUAACAUAUUAAUUUAAUAGUUACUAUACAUUUUGAUGAAUAAAUAUUUGUUUAUGCCUAACUUCUUUACAUGAUUGACGCAACAUUACUCGAAAGCGAAAGUUUGAAUCCAACAGGAUUCGUCAUUGACCAAAGUUGUAAAGAAACAUUUACGUAAGGCAGAAGAGACACUAAUUUAUGAAAGUAAUUUGCUGAACAUUUAACGUAUGGUGACCGACCGUUUCUAGAGCAAGUGAUAAAGAGCUUCGUGAUUGGUACCCGAGAUUUCAAGUUCGAAUCCUAGUUGAUUCACAUUUCCAGCUAAGUUUAUUUCUAAAUGAAAUAAACGAAACGGGUAACGUACUAUCUAUCUCUCAAAAAAAUAUUCAACUUAUGGUGAAAUUAGAAAUGAUGAAAUCGAAAGUGGGGGAGGCCAAAAGUGUGAGAUUGACACCUAAAAAUGGACACUUAAUGUGUGAGAAAGAGAGAGAAUUAGUAGGAGCCAAACAUAGGGGCAGAAGCAUUUAUUGCCGAGUGAAGCCGCAUGAAUUAAGGUAAGGAUGUGGACAAGUAGGAUGUGAAACCCACCGCCUUAUAUGUCAUGCUCACACAAGUAUGAUGCAAUAAUUAGAAAAUUUUACUCAAAAAAUUAUUUCCUUUUUUUGGGGGUGAAAUUUGACCAUUAACAUGUGUAAUAAUUUUUAUUAAUUAAUAGCACAUAAAAGUUACAUUCUAUAUAGCAGCUACACUGUAUCAUUUAUACUCAUCAAUCAUACAUUUUAUGAAAAAGUUAUAAUAAAAAUAUUUUUUUCUAAAAAUUUUGAUGAAAGUAUUAAUAUAAUUGGUUGGAAAUAUCAUAUAAGUUGUAUGACUAUCAUAUUUUAAAUUUAUUCGCACAGAAGAAAUGAUACUCCACUUGAUUUUAUGUUAUUUUAUUACUAUUCAGUGACAAGUGAUGUGGGUUCAAUGUUCCAAAGAAAUGUGUUGAUGUUCCUAACUUAUGACAAUUUUGCCUUAUUUUGGAUUUUGUGUGUGACAUUAAUUAACUUUUCUAUGAUUUAUUGGGAAAAUUUUCUUUUUCUUAUGUCAAAAUUAUGUCAGGAUGAUGUCAACGCAUGUUAGCUGUUAAGUAGGUCUCAAUCAAUAUAUGCCAACGAUGCUUAAGUUCUCGAUUAGGUCUACAGGUCUUAAUCUAUAUAUGCCAACGAUGUUUAAGUUUUUAAUUAAUUAGGCCGGUCUAUAGGACAAAAAAAACGAAGAAGAGAUAAUGAUAUAACUUAAUUAUGUUUGGUUAAACUUCAGUAAUAAAUAAUAAUCAAGCUCUACGUAGUUUUAUAUUGGCAAUAAUAUUUUCUUUUAAAAAAAUUGUUACCCUGAUAGUGCAAUUUCGUCAUUAUUUUUUUAAAUUAUACUACUCAAUGCAGAUAAGCAUUGUUAUAAUUGGAUAAUAAGGUACCAAUUAAUUUUCUUUCCAAAAAAAAGAAAAAAGAAAAUCGAUUUGUGUCCGUUGUCGGGAAAAUAGGAUAACCUAUUGUUAAAAGGAAAAUAAAAAAAGUCACACAAAUAUUCACAAAUUAAACCAAAUUAAACACACCAUUUAAUCUGAAUUUCUUUAUUCUUUAAAUUUCCUAGUUCAAAAAUAUUUGCAAUUUUGCAAGGCCGGCCCAUAGAGCUUUUCCUGGCCCGGCCCAGAAAAGUAAAGCUUCGAUUGGGUUUCCAUUACUGUGAUUCAAUUGUGGGCCUAGAAGAGUAAGCCGUGUAUAUUGGCCCAAAAAAGCCCAAUCGAAAUAUGCUAAAUUGGGGCCAAUUCAAUAGCCCCUUUUUAAAAUAGGCCCCUCAACUUUAUGCAAGUCUUAUUGACACCCGCCCUCAACUUACAAUUUCUUUUCCACAAUUCCACUUAGUUAUUAACUUUAUUAAUUACAUAAUUUUAUUUGUUACAUAUCAUUAAUGAGGUGUCAAUCGAAAAAGAAAAGUUGACAGGGCCAUUUCAAAACGGCCUAUAGUUGAGGGGGAUCACCUUAAAUUUGGAUAGUUUUAUUAUAAGCCCUUGUUAUGCUCACAAUCAGUGUGACAAAAAGACACAAUUCGUACCUCCUUGUCCCUUAAGCCUUAUCUUUAACAUUACUUAAUUUACAUGCUUGUCGACUCAAACUUAGAUAAAUCCAAUACUAAUGCUAAAGAAAAUGAAUUAAGUUAGGGUUUAAUCGAUCCACCAUCAAUGAUUAAUUAAUUAUAAGGAGCAAAAACAUGCAAGCAUGCGCAUGUGAUGAGGAUAUGGACAAACCCAGUAAGUUAAGCUAAGCCAACUCAUCAAGGAGUGUGUAUGCACCAAGAAGUAGAGAGGUCCAAAAUAGAUGCAAUAAGAAUUGCAUGGAAAAGCUUGUUGUGUGGCAAUGAUUUGUGUGGGUUGGGGCACACGUGAAUAGAAGCAAGAAGAGUACGUUUCUCGUCUCAAUUAUUGCAUGCCUACACCAAGUGUACCGUAUCGAUCGUUCCAUGCAUGCUUAAUUAUGCAACACUUUCCUAGUAUACUGUAUAAUCUUUUGAACUAAAGCUUAAAGUGACUUGGAAGUUUAGACGGAUAGUAGGGAAGUUAUGUAAUUCGUGAUGACACGUACGACACAUCAAUACGAUCUAAACACGACGACUUGUUACAUUUGAUGUGCUAGUAGUUUGAAUCUUUUAAUGUGGUAUUGGAAUUUUGAUACGUUUCUUUAGCUAGGUGGUUACAUUCGAUGUAGUAGAAGUGUAUAGAUUAUGUGGUGCAACUAGCUAGUUCAUGCAAAUGUUUUCUCUUCUCUGGCAUGCACAAAGGCUGCUCCAUGCCAGGGCGGAGCAAUAUUAACCUUUGGACCCAUCUAAAACCCUAACCCUGGAUCGAGAAGGAACAAGAGGACCAAUUUCUAGGCCCCCUACAAGUUAUCUCUCACGAGAGUCGUCGCACUUCGCGUUAUAGUAUAGUCACGAGAACCAUUGCAGUCCAUUACUUUUCUAUGGUUUCUUUUUUUGAGAAAAAGGUAGCACGCUAUCCGUUUCAUUUAUUAAAACGAUGAACUAAGCUACAGGGAUGAGGCAACACGGCCUCGGGAUGGGGGUGUCAAAAAAAAAAAAAACUAGUACUAUCGAUUAUCGAUUACCAACAUGCCGCCGAUUAGUUGAGAGAGAUUGCUCUUAGAGAUACGUCAGCUGAUUUUCUACAGUUUCACUGUUGAGCCGUGUAUAUAUGUAUAUAUAUAGAUAGAUUGUUGAAGUGUUCGUAAAAUAAUAUGGAGAGUUUUGAUUUUCUCAUAAACUGAGUCUUAGACGUCCCUACAUGAUCGAACAUGUCAAUUGGAAACAUUUUAUGUGAACCCAGAUCUAGUCUUUUACAUUUGAGAGUAUGAGCAUUGCUACGGGUUCCAUAAUGUUAUAAUUGCCAUAUACUAUUGAUAUAUUUGGCAUAUAUAAUGCUUAUAUGAAUUUGCGAAUUAAUAUAUAUAUAUCACCAAUAAAUAGGGAGUUUUAUGUGGACCCAAAACAUUUCCCAUAUGUAAUUUGAAGCAUGAACUUCAGUGAGGAGUACAACAAGGAGUUGUCAUGUACUUUGUGGGACAUUUGUGAUGAGAACAUGUCACUCGGUUCGUGCAUAAAUAAAUAAAUAAAUAAAUAAUAGUAAUAUCAAAUGGAAAAUAAUAGUAAAAUCAUAUGGUUCAUGGUCUCCUAGAUAGGUAGCAAGGAAAUUUUUCUAUGCAUUCUUUGUUAAGCUUGUUUGUUGGAAUAGUAACCGCAUACUAAUUCGCAAUUUGCAUAUCUUGAUUUUGAUAGAUUAAUGUAGAGGGAGCCACCGAACUUUUGCGUUAUUAUUUAGAGAUAGGUGCUAUACAUUGUUAACUAAUCAUGGUUAGUGAAAAAGAUUCUUUGGUUUGUUAAUUAUAAUAAAGCAUGCCCAUUUUUCUAAUUGCUCGUUUCUCCCCUGGGGAUUACAUGUUAAAGAAACAACAAUAGCAUUUGUUAUAUAUGCAAUAUCGAUCUACACGUACGAUUUACCGUUCAUUAGAGUUUAAUUUGAUUUUCAUUUUUCCGAAAAAAAGGUUUUUACUUGUCGCUGUUCUUUAAUUUGGGGCUUGACGCUCAACUUUUUCUUAACUAAGAUACACACCUUUAAGAGAAAUAUGCUAUUAAUUUGUAAACUUAAUUAUAUGCACGUUUAAUUUUAUAUAUACAUGACAAAAGGGUAAGUCAAAAUUAAUUGUUUGGCCAGUACUCAAUUAUUUCAACAAGAUUAGCACAAUAUUCUCGAAUAGAAAUCUCAUGCAUCGACAAUGGCGAUGAUGAAGAAGAAGAAGAUGAUGAUGAUGAUAGUGAUGAUUGAUUGAUAGCUGUGAUGGUGAUAGAAGGUGGCAGCGGUGGGUGAAAGCAGAGAUGGAAACAGUAACAACUACAUAUUGAUAGUGAAUGUAAUGACAGUAGUCGUGACUAUUAAUUGUUGUGGUGAAUGACAAUGAUAACUGUAGUGAAUUUGUAAUGCGACAAUUAUGAUGAUAUGGUUGUAAAGAUGCAUGGUUGUGACUAUCUUAGAGAAUUCUCGGUGCGAAUUAUGUUAGCUUUUAGUGCUGAAUCAUAUCAUAUCAUAUACAUAUACAUAUACAUAUAUACAUAUAUACAUUCAUAUAUACAGAUAUAUAUAUAUACAUAUACAUAUAUAUAUAUAUAUAUACAUAUAUAGAGUGCGUGUACUAUACUUUCGAAAGUACCAGGACCUCCGUGCUUGUAAGUUGUUUUCGAUGAUAGGACAUCCGAUUUGACGAUCGGCUCCGUUAGGUAUAAUCUAUCAUAUUGGAACUAUCUAGAAACCAAAUUUUAUAAUUUUUUGACAUAAUUUACUAAGCGAUCAAAACGUUCCAAAAAUGACUAUUUUAAUGGCCGAUGCGGCACGUUUUUAAGUUUAACGGUAUAGAAAUAUUCAAAUUACGUGAAAAUUUAAUAGAAAAUUCUACUUAACAUCAAUAACAAGAUCAAAUUUCCGAUUUGAAAUUUGAGUCAUUUAUCAUUAUUUUUUAUGAUAUUUUUAUUUUCAGCCGUUCAUUUUGAGGCUACUCGUUCACUAAGCAAACGAAGUCAAAAAAUUAUGAAAUUUGGUUUCUAAAUAGUUCCAAUAGCGUAGAUCAUGUCUAACAAAACCGAUCGCCGAAUUGGACGUCCCAUCAUCGAAAACAACUUUCAAAUACGGAGACCUCCGUACUUUUGAAAGCAUAGGAGCCUAGCUCCAUAUAUAUAAAUAUAUAUAUAUAUACACAUAUACAUAUACAUAUACAUAUACAUAUACAUAUGCAUAUAUAUAUAUAUAUAGUGUCCGGCUACUAUACUCUUAUGAGCAUAGAGCCUUUUGUACUCAUAAAUUUUUUACCGUUUGAUCUACCCUUUAAUUAUUUUCACCCGUUAGAUUAUACUAUUCAACCAACCACCCAUGCACUCAACCCUAGGGGGCCCACUAUCAAUCUAACCGUAACCACUUUCAUCUCAACCACACAUUUCUUCAUCUAAACAGUCAAAAAGUUAUGAAUACAAAGGGCUCUAUACUCAUAUGAGUAUAGUAGCCCUAGCCUAUAUAUAUAUAUAUAUAUAUAUUCCUAUCUUCUAAAAAUUAUGUUUUGUUUUGUGUUUGGUGUGUAAAAGAUUUCAUUUUGUCUACAGGCUGGACCUCAUCUAGCUCCGGACAAGUAAUUACUUGAUAUUAUUUUAUUUUCUUUUUUAUUCACAAUAUGUCAUAAAUAUAUAUAUAUAUACUAGAUAUAUACGAAAAUAAUUGAGCUCACUGUUUAUAUAUAGCAACCAAAUUAAUCUACAAGAAUUUUAAAUCUAGCACACAAAUUAGUGCACUAGUGUGGUCCUAUAUAAUACUAUAGGUUCAUCAAGCAUUGUAUUCCUCUUUCUUUCUUGCCACAUAAAUUGAAGAGGGAUAUAUAAUUAAUAAUAUUCUCUCCAACCUCCCAUGUGUGCAGGAAUAUAUAUGUGCAUACGCAUGCAUUGGCCUAUGUAUGCUCUAUCUCUCCAUUUUUUUUAAAUUUCUUUCUUUCUCUGAUUAAAUUAAUGUCUGUUCAAUUAAUGCUUUUGGAACAGUACUUCUAGUAUUUUGAAUAAACUUUUUCUUCUACAUAGUAAUUCCAAGUGCUACAGUGCAAUUUGAAUUGGUAGUCCGCGUUACUUAAAAUGAACUAGAGAAUCAAAAUUACUAAAAAUUAAGAUUUAUCGUCUUUAAAUACCUUUUAUUUAUGCAUCAAGUAGUCUCGAUAAUUUUAUUUUGAUAUAAAUAACAAUUAUACUUUUCAAUUGAAGAGUCUUUUGUUUGUUCAUUAAUAAUUAGUUUAUUCAACACAAGUUCUUCGCCUUUUUCCCUCUUAAUCAAACUUUGUUUUCUAAAUAUAAGUAUCGGUGUUAAGAAAAAUUAAAGAAUUUGGAGUGAAUUCCUUUCGGCCAUAUAUUCCGGCCCACUUGGUAAUAAAACGUAAAGAAACCUCUCAAUUAUUAUUAUUAUUAUUAUUAUUAUUAUUAUUAUUAUUAUUAUUGUUGUUGUUGUUGUUGUUUAAUCCUCUUUUAUAAUUUAAUGAUCCAUAAAAUUAAUAUUAGAAAAUUUUAAAAUUUUCAAUCCAAAUGCCAAUAACUCGUCAACUCUUGAUCAUAUUAAUGAGUUGUUCGUGCGCCUUAAAAUUGAGAGCCCUAUACACUCCCCUUCAUUUGGAUAAUAAUGGUGAUCACAUAUCCGGUUCCAAAUAUAGUUUUAUUUAGGGUAUUUGUUUACUUAUUUUUAGGUUCUUAUUUUGUUGGUACGUAACUAGACCGGGCAAUCUCUAUUCAUACCCACGAGUGUCCACAAGUUAUCCACAAAUUUACGAGUAUUGAUACUAAUUUACAAAGAAUUAUUGGUAAAACAGGUGAGUAUCCGUUAAGUUGUAGGCAUUUUGGAUAAUCCGUGGAUAUCCACGUAUACCUGUAUAUAUUUUUUUAAUUACAAAAUAUAUAAUCUUUUAUGAUAUUGAUUUUAUAAUUAUAUAUGAAAACUUCAUUAAUUUUUUAUCAUAAAAAUUUGGAAUGAUAAAAUACUUUUAUAUAAUAUAAUUUAUGCACUUUAAAAUUUUAUAUUGUUUAUUGUAUAUCGUGUAUAUUUCAAAUAACAAGUCAUGUUAUAUUUUUAAAUAUUACAUACAUAUGUUUAAUUUGCAUUUGAAGAGUAAAAUAAAAAAUUGUAAACUGUCUAAAACUUUAUGAUAAAUUCUAUAUAUGCAUGGCCAUAUAAUCUGCGGGUAUAAUGAUCUGUCGGUGGGUUACUUGAUCCGUCCAUUUGCCAGGUCUAUACGUACGUAACACGCUAACGCAUGCAUUGGCAAUAUUUUUUUUUCUUAUAAUUGUUUUUUUUCUUUUUUUGGUGAAAGAGAUGGAAAUAGUGAGAGCAAUUAAGUAGGCUAGCCCGUGAGCGAGAUUUGGAUGCAUUCACAGCUCACACUCACGAAAGAGAUCCCCUCAAAACACGCAUUGCGUUACCAUCUCCUGCACCAUGCCAAACCCCAAACAACCUCUCCCUUUGACGCUUUCGAUCGAUGCUUCCCUUCCAUCACGAGAGAUCCCAGCUUAGAAUUUGGAUUAGUUCACCCCCUCUACACUUGUUCUUUCAUCUACAGUUGCUCUUAUAAAGAGUUUCGUAAACAACAAAAAUCUAGAGCCUACGUAUGCAUACCUUGAUUUGAGGUUCGAAUGAGAUUAGGAGAAUCAAAAGUAGACACUCUGAUUUGGUACGUCUAAUGUUAUUAUCGGGAAAAUCGCUUCUUCGUUUAGUAUUGCUUAAAUAAUAUUUAAUCAAAUUAACAACGCGUGAGAUCCUAGAUCAUUACGCGACGAUUUCUUGUUAGUUACUUUCUGAAUUAGCUAGAAUGCUCCAUACCUUUUUUGAGAGAUAAUCAGUAUGCUAUCCGCUUCGUUUAUUUCAUUUAGAAAUAAACUUAGUUUGAAAUGUGAAUCAACUACGAUUCGAACUUAAUUAGGACCUCGAGUACCAACCACCAAAUUCUUUACCACUUGCGCUAGAGACGAUUGAUUAAAUUGCUCCAUGUUGCAUGCAAGUAAAUAGUGUAAAAUGUUUAACUAGGCAGAGCAUUACUUAUAGUUAAGUGAUCACCUCCAUAUAUAUAUAUAUAUAUAUAUAUAUAUAUAUAUAUAUAUAUAUAUAUAUAUAUAUUCCCCAACAUUUUCAUGCCCGAAGGGAUGUUAAAGACCAUUCCUUUGACCUUUUCUAUCAAAUCAUUUAAGUUACUAUAGAAAAAAGAUGACACUGUAUGUUUUUUCUUUUGAAAAAAAAAAAUAGCAAGUUACCUGCUUCAUUCAUAAAAUAGUAUAAAUUUAACAAUAUAGGUGAGGCAGCCAAAGCCUCGAGAAAAGAGGAAACAAAACAUGAAAUAUAGAGGGGAGGAGGAGGAGAGAGAGGGGAGGAGGAUUAAUUAAUUACAUGUAUAUAAUUAAUAGCAUUGUUCUAACCAAUUUCGCUCUAGUAAAUGAAUACGGCGAAGAACAUCAGUGGGGCUUGAGCCUCGUCCCUUAAAAAUAAUAUUAUUUUUUUCUAGUCAGAUCGUCCACUACGAAAUUGAAAGUUUGGUAAGUUCAUUUAUCCAACUGUGGCUAUCAAUCUUGCUGCAACGUUCCUUUAAUCAGAGGUGGUUUGUUACUAGAGGUGCAGUUAAUGCUGCUGGUGUCAUACUUAAAGGUGACAAUUAAUUACUUAGAAAAUAUGAAUUUUCAUAUUGAAUAAUUGUAACAACUUGCAAAUGUAUUACCUUCUUAUAUAUAGUUAGUGGCUUUCUUUUUCACACGAGCGCUUUUGUUGUUUUCUAUAGUAAGGGAAUGUUUGGUCCUAUAAAAUAGUGGUGAUAUUUUGUAGUUCGCGAGCUACUUUUCUAGUUAAUCAAUAAAUUACUGGUUUAGAAAGCAAAAACGACCUAAACAAUGGACUUAAAUUGGGAAUUUUGGAAUCAGAUUGGUCUAAGGCCCGUCACAAAUCUUAUAAUUCUACUCAAAAGCGGACCACAUUUUAAGUGUCAUUUCUUUUUCUGAAGUUAAAAUUCCCCUAUCUAGUUCCCAACUUUUUUUUGGGGGGGUUACAAAAAUAUAAAACUUACUUAAAUUAUAAUUUAUUAUGAAAAAAACUAACUAAUUUAAAAUUUUGAUUUGCUAUCUAACCUUUUAUUUUUUUUUUAUUUGAGUGAUUAGAUGCAUGGCUGUCUUUUAUUAAUUAUAAAUAUGAUGUGUGGAGCAUUUUAACAAUUAUAAUCAUAAUGCAUAGAGUAUCUCAGGUGAUUCACGUGAUUAUAUUCUCGCUAACAAGUGUUGCGUUCAAAAUUGACCGUCUCUAGAGCAAGUGGCAAAAGGCUUGGUGGUUGGUAUUCAAAGUCCCAAGUUCGAAUCCUAAUUAAUUCACAUUUCCAACUAAGUUUAUUCUAAAGAAAUAAACGAAGCGGGUAGUGUACUACCUAUCUCUCUCUCUAAAAAAAAAAAGAAGUGUUGCGUUCAAAUUCCUUGGCAGAAGCGUCAUCAAAUUGCUCAAAAUUAAAAACACUAUAGUUGGACUCUCUCUCUUUCUCUCUCCCUCUCUAUACAUGUGUGUGUUAAACUUUAUAUAUUUUCAAUCUUUUCAUUCUUUAGUAGAACAAAUGGUAGUGUGAAGUUAGGAUCAGAAGGUUUCACUACGAAAGAGAUAAAGAGAAGUUUGUGGAAUUAUUGUGAUUUGAAAAAGAACAAUAAUUGAGUCAUUUCUCAUCGAAAUUAAUUUGCAAGUUAUCUGUAGGUAUAGUGUCAAGUCAUUUUUAAGUUUGUCCAGUUCUGUAAGGUCAUAGGUUGAUUCCCGAACCAUGCAUCUCUAUGUUGUAUCUUUCAUACAUAUCCAUCACUCAUGUGAAGCAGCAUUAAUUCUCGAAUCAUUUCCUACUAUAUAAUCUUUUGGAUGCAUGAGAGAAAGGUUUCAUUUGAUGAACAAAAAAUUAAUUUCUAAAUGUUUUUUCUUCAUAUAUCGGCUUAAUUUGGAAAACAAAUUACAGGAAUUGAAUUUGUUCCGACAUAAUUAGUACUCAUGUGAGCUUUACGUAUGCACUUUUCUGUUGCCAAAUUUACGUAAGUUUAGUCUGUAUAUUACCACGAAUGUGUUUGACUACGUGAUGUAACUCAAUAAGGGAUCUUCUCUACACCUUCUUAAUAAAAAAAAAGCAUGUGAUAUUCUCAUGAGUCCAUGUAAAUCAAUGGGCAAUUUGGGUAUUUCAUAGUCCACAUGAUUAUUUUUUUCUCUGUUGGUCAUAACAUGGGUUCUUCGGAAACUCAGGCAAUGUCUUAAUGCCAAUAUUUACUAAUCUUCAUAUAAAUGUGAGAGCUCAUCUCCUCAUUUAAGUGCUCAAAGAAGAGAGAGAGAGAGAGAGAGAGAGAGAGAGAGAGAUGGUCUCUAGGGAGCAAAAGAAAGCAGCUCUACAAGAGAAGCUGCAGCUUCUUCGAUCUGUUACAAAUUCCCAAGCAGUAAUCAAUCUACACAAUCUCCAAACCUCUUUUCUCUUUGUUUUCUCCCUCCUUAAUUUCUCUUCUAUUAAUUAUAUCUUGCCCACAUGAUAUUAGGCUAUUCAGAUAUAUAUAUAUAUAUAUAUAUAUAUAUAUAUAUAUAUAUGUUAUAGUUUAAUUUGGUAAUGUUGUACUCUCAAAAUUAAAAAAAGGUCAUAAUGAGAUCGAGGAUUGUACAAACUGUACUUGCUAUAUGAUUAUACUAAGUUAUUAACUAUUACACUCAGUUAAUAACUUUUUAAAAGCUUAUCUUUGCAUUUGAGUCAUGUGUUAGCCAUCUCUCUGUUGCCUUAUCUUGUCCAACUAAUUGUUUCUUCCAACCAAAAAAAAAAAAAAAGUGAGUAAAUUAAUUGUUCUCCCGCCUAUCUAAUUAUUACAACAUGUAAUCAAUAUUAAACAAGCACUUUAAACUUUUUAAGUAUUAAUUCCUUGUGAUGUAUCAUUGAGCAGUCAUAUAUACUUUAAUUGAUAUAUAUUUUGCGGUGUACUUGCAAAACUUACCGAUAAAAAUUCGUUGUUGUGAAUUCAUUUGUUUUCAAUCUUAAUCAUUUAUUUGUAAUUCCCAAGUAACCAAAUUACGUAUGAUUAAAUAAGUAACCAAGUAACUCACCAGUUUUAUGCAUCUUGCAGCCAAAUAAAACCUCAAUCAUAGUGGAUGCUACCAAAUACAUUCAAGAGUUGAAGCAAAAAGUCGAUGCUUGUCUGAAAGAUCUUGCUGAGGAUAGCAGCAUGCCUAUGGUAAGUGCAAAUUAACACUUGAUCGACUAGAUCGCUAAUUGUCAAAACUAAAUCACUGGUUGAAAAUGCCGAAGUUCGAGUUGCUAGUACAAAUCUUUAUUUAUAAAUAUGGUAAAAAAAAACUCUCCGGUCUAGCUAUAGUACAUUAGUUAUCUGGGAUUAUCAAAGUGUUAAAUAGAAUUAACUGUUAGUACAUUAUUACUUUAAUACUAACAUAAACUGCUUUAGAUAUGUACACUCAUAUGUGCUUCAUCCAAACAUAAUAGGUUACUGUUUCGACGGCAGAGAAGGGCCUACUCAUCAAUGUGUUCUCCGAGAAGAGUUGUCCCGGUUUGCUUGUCGUGAUACUAGAGGUGUUCGAAGAUCUGGGUCUUGAAGUGCUAAAUGCUAAUGUGUCCUGCACUGAUACAUUUCACUUGGAGGCAGUAGGAGAAGUAAGAUCAAAGAAUUUUUUGUUUAAACUUACGCUAUAUAUACAUAUAUAUAUAUAUAUGUAUGCAUGCAUGAUAUAUGAUAUAUAAGACCAGAUCUUUUUUAGCAGAUCAAAAAGUAUCUAAUUAAGGCCCAUAGUCUGGUCACAUAAACAUAAUGUAAAUGAUGUUAAAAAAUAUCCUAAUAUAGCAAAGAUUUAAUCAUUUCUUGUGAAUUAUUAUAUAUGUAGUCAAGAAUAAGAAAUAUUCACGUAUUAAAGAACGUUAAAUCUUCUCAUUAUACUCCACUCUUAAAGUAGAUUUCCAUAGAAAAUGCAUAUAUUAUUAUAUUGGUUGAAGAAACUUUAUAUGAAUGCUUGUACUUGCAUAUUAUGUGCAUUAUUAUAUAUAUCUAUAUCUACAUGUCUAUUAUAAUUUCUUCAAAACAAAAGGGAAAACAAAUUCCAAGCACUGCGAGCCAUACAUUGUUUACAUCCUUAUCAUGCAGGACAUGUUUUGUCCGAUUAAUAAAAAUUUCUUUAGAUCUUUCUAUCAACUAAAAUAAUUGUACCGAUAUCAAUGAGUUAUGCCCUAAUUUGCAGAAUCAAGUUGACAGUGUGGAUGCUCAGAUGGUGAAGCAAGCAGUUUUGCAAGCCAUAAAGAAAUGGAGAGAAACAACCGAUGGAGUAGACGCAACCAUAUAAGACUUUGAAAUGUUAUCUAUCUAUCUAUCUAUCUAUCUAUCUAUCUAUCUAUCUAUCUAUCUAUAUAUAUAUAUAUAUAUAUAUAUAUAUAUAUAUAUAUAUAUGGCGCAAGCUUGUUUAGGCUUUCCUUCAAUCUGUAAAUUUUGCUUAAAGUAUCUCAAUAAUCCAAUACAUGAAGUUGGAUCCUCGUAAAUUAUUAUAGUUCUGCAGUAGCAAGAACAAAUGUUCUUCUACAUGAAUAAGGACAUGCGAAGCGAAUUAUCCUCAACGUGUAUAUAGUGACCAACUAUGGACGAAUAUUGUGUCGGAAUGUGAGUACUUUCAAAAAGGUUACCUUGUGCAAAUAAUUAAUAUUUGAAUGUUGUUGAGAAAGAGGAAGUGAAAUCCCAACUUGCUUCAUUUAUUGCGAUUACGAACUAGUCAAGUACACCAAAAGAUCGAAGGGAAAUAGUAUUAGAAGGUUAACUCAUAAGGCAAAAGAAGUAUAUUGGCAUGGUAAUUUGAAGCAUUACUAAUUGCGAUAAGAGAAUAAGACACAAGGAUAAAUGAAGCAACGUGAUUAAGAUGAAGAAGCACAAAGAUGAGAUCAACUGCAUCAGAUCUAGAAUACAAUUCAGCAUGUUGGUGUUUUACAUAUAUAUGUAUAUAUGUAUCCUUUUGUAGUGGUGAAGCAUUAGUGCGUGAAUAUAUAAAAAUAUAUGUAUGUUUAUAAAGAGACUAAAUAUAUAAUAAAGUUAAAAAUCAAUAAUAAGAAAAUGUUGAGAUGGCCGAGUUGGUCUAUGGCGCCAGAUUAAGGUUCUCGUCCGAAAGGGCGUGGGUUCAAAUCCCACUCUCAACAGUUAAAAAUAAAUUUUGGCGUUCUAAUUUUUUUUUUUAAUAUUUAUUUAAAAAUAGGGAGAAAAUAAAACAGUAACUUUUUUUUAACAAUUUUGCCAUCUUCAAUAUUUAUUUCAAAAUAGGGGUUCAAAUCCCACUCUCAACACUUGAUAAUACAUUUUGACAUUUUUCAAUAUUUAUUUAACAAUUUUUUUAAAACUUACUGGAGAAACAUAAAUCGUUGAAACAUAAAUGGAGAGUUAGUCCAUCAAUUUAAGCAAAAUUCAGUGACCCCCUCUAUACUUUACGUAACAAAUUUCUUUUCAUGUAUUAAUUUGUUGAUUCAAUCGUUGAACCUUCGGAGAAGUACAAAAAAACUGAAAACGGAUAGUAUUGGAUCAAAAAUUCAGAAUUUUCAGGAAAGAAACAAAAAGAGAGAAAUAAGACUUUUAUUAAUUAACCAGGUAUAUAUAAUGUCUCCUUACAUAUACAAGAUAAGAGAAACAAAAGCAAAAAAUAAAAUUAUAUACGAGCAAGGACUAUUUUGAAAUUUAGGGCUAAUGAUACAUGUGCCUUUAUGAGGAAAAGUUUCUCUUUAAAAUGGUGUAAGGAGGAUAAUUACCAAUUUGAUGGUGGUAAAGGUAUAAGAUAAAGGAAGACCAAAAAAGAUAAACCAAAAUAAAGAGGAUUUAAUCAUACAAAGCUAUAUAUAGGGCAUGUUUGUUUUAUCAAAACUGGACUUUGGGUAGAAGUGGACUUUGGGUUGAAGUGGAAUUGGUAAAAAUUACUUCUUCGUCGCUGUUUCUUUCGUAGUUAUGAAAGUGAAAUUUUAUUAGUUCUGUUGUUUGUUUCGUAGGAAAUAUAUAAUGUAAAAGUAUAAUUUAUGUAUAAAUAAUAAAUAAUUUAAUAAAUAAAAAUAAUGUAAUUAUAUUUUUAUGUAAUUAAAAUUUAAUUUAAAACGACUAUAUUAUUUUCUUAUACAUAAAUUAUAGUAAUACAACAAUAAAAUUAUAAAGUAAAAAAAUAUUAAUAGCUAAUUAAUUAAUUUUUAUCAUAUUUUAAUUGUACAAAUUAAAUAAAGAAUAAUCAAUUUUUAUCAUAUUUUAAAUAUGUCAAUUGAAUAAAAAUUAAUUAGCCUCAUAAUUAAAUAUAUUUAAAUAUAACUAUCUUUACCUAUCAUAUUAUUUUAUUAAAUUUUCUUUACUUCUCUUCACUGUAAUUGAUUUCGGCCCACGAUGGGUCGAAGUUAAUUACACCAUUUUAGGUUAAUUUGAGUUUCGACCGCAACUUAUUUACGGCGAACUAAACAACGGAAGUCAUCGUUUACGACGAAAACAAUUUCUUUCCUCUCCACUUCCACCCCACUUCCACCCAACCAAACAUGCCUAUAAUGUCUAUCAAAAUUAUAAUUGGAAUCCAAGAUUAGUAUAAUUGGGCCCAAACUGAUCCUUAGAAAUUAAACCACGGGAUCGAAACAUCACAAGGAGUAUCACCCGGGCCUAUAAUUAGAGGUCCAAUUGAGGUUCGUGGUUUCUGCAUGAGGUAUAGUUUGAAAUAGCAGUGUUUAAACUAGGGGUGGCAAUCCAGCUUGUGUUCGGUUCGAAAAAAUAUAUUUAUUUUAUAUUUACAUAAUUUAUAUUUAUAUAUAUAAAUAAAUAAUUAGAGUUCGGCUACAAUAAUAUCGAUAGCACUAAGUAUUUGAUGCUACUAAGUUUUUCGCCGUUGAAUAUACCUCUUUGACUAUUUUCACCCGUUAGAUCAUAUUAUUCAACCCAUCUCCCACUUAACCCUAGAAGACUACUAUUAUCCUAACCGCACGUCGCUUCAUCUAAGGACCGAAAAUCUAAUAGCAUCAAUGACUUAGUAUUAUUAAUAGUAUUGUAACCUAGUUCUAAAUAAUUAUAUAUAAUAUAAUACAAACUUUUAUUAUUUGACUUUUAGUCCAAUCUAAAUAUAAAGCCCAAUCCAAUUAUAAAAGAUUUGUUUAUGUAUAAAGUUUCAAUCAUUAGAUUUAAUAGCUAGGUUCAUAAAUUUACUUCCUAUAUAUCUUUUCUAAUUUUUUAACUUGUUGUUUGUAAGUCGGCUCAUAUUCAACUCGUUAACGAGUCGAACACGAGGUAAAUUUUUCGACUUAAUAUUUUAAUGAGCCAUCUCGAGAUCGGCUCGACAUGAUCCAGCCCUACUCGCUCGUGUUCGGCCUGUUGACACCCUUAGUUUAAACACUCCCACUAUCAUACUACAAAGGGUUCAAAUAACGCCUUCCCAAACUCGGAGGCAAAUUAGGCCUUGGCCCACUCAAGUGGGCUCCAAGCUAGCUUGGGCCUAUUAUUAGGUGUAUCAUUGGUCGUUAGUACUUUCAAUAUCAUUAAAUUUAGCUAGAGAUUUGCAUUUUAGAGGCUAUGCACAUGUCUCGAUCUCGUACGUCGAAGUUGGAUAGUUCAUCAAAGUAUCAUGUUUGGUUUGAGCUUGAAAGUCUUAUGGAUCUGUUACUUGCUGCGGAUUAUUAAUUGUGAGUGAUCAUUGCGAGUUCAUGUACGGUGCAAACUCACACGUUCAUCGGUGGCGGAGGAGAGGAGCUAAGAUCUCAUAUAUGCGGUGGCGGAUCUCAUAUGUGCUCCUAUGUACUCGAAUCUACCAAACAAGCUCUUAAUGGUGUGAAUAUCCUUAGGUAGCGUGCUACCCCUUUCUCAAAAAAAAAAAAGGAUCUCAUAUGUGCUCCUAUGUACUCGAAUCUACCAAACAAGCUCUUAAUGGUGUGAAUAUCCUUAGGUAGCGUACGUGCUACCCCUUUCUCAAAAAAAAAGAAAAAGAAAAAAGGUGUGAAUAUCCUAUUAAAAUGGUAGGAGAGACAUGUUAAUUAACUGCGAACUUAUGUAUUCAUGUGCGCACAAUCACUUAUUCUGCGUUUUCACAUUUUAAGAUCAACCUUGCUGUUCCUCGAACUUGGUGCACCAAUCUUGCUCUCAGCUGAUUUAAAUUUUUUAAUAGCAAAUUUAUUGUGGUCAUUUAUAACGGCUAGCUAGCACGUGCGCGAUCUUGAUUAGUGGUGAUAAUAGGGUCAAUGAUCGAAAAAGUUGGUGGUUAAUUUUGACAUUUCACACAACCAAGGGAUCUCUCGCAGAGGAUUAGUCAAAGCCUUGGCGACCAAAACCUGUAUUGAACUUACUUUUGCUUUUGCUUUUAUUAGUACGUAGCAUCUCAUAUAUAAUACACAUAAACAUUUAGCAAAAUACGAAGUGAGGUAGAGCGAGAGAGAUUGCGCUGCAGAUAAUUGUUUAUUAAACACUUCGUCAAUCGAUUAAGUGUAUUUUUGGAUAGUGCUUCUUCUAGUAACUUUGUUUAGACAACAUUUCAUUAAAUAAUAUACUAUACUUUGUAAUAAUAAGACCAAAUAGAUCCUAAAAUUUAUCCUCUGUCCCUACUUUUUGCAACUCGAUCUCUCUAUUUUAAAGUUUUCUACCAAUCAUGUUAAACUUCAUUAAGAAGCUUUCUUUUAGUCGAUUUGAAUGGCAAUUCUAAAUGCUUUUCAAAUACUUGAAUAAUAUUCUAGUAAAUGCUCCAGCGGAGCCAAACUAAUCCUAAUAAUCCAUCCCCCAUAUGUCAUCUCAUGAUCAUAUAUAACAACGGUAACUAAGCAAUAGUAUAACAUAGUUCUUUUACAAGUUUCCAAGAAUGUUGACCUUAUAUAUUAAUAUUAAUACGUCACUAUUAUGAUGAAGAACACUUUGAAAUUGGUUUAUGUAUGUACACAGCUCAUUAGACAAUAUGUAACGUUAUUAUUGUGUAUGAUCAAAAGUAAUUUCUAUAGUAAAGUGAGAAAAGAACAUGUGUGUACAGUAUAUAUAUAUAUAUAUAUAUAUAUAUAUAUAUAUAUAUAUAUAUAUAGUACUUCCGCCAACGGUUCAUUUUAAGUUGCUAGUUAAUAUAUGAAUAGGAGGUAGGAUCUUGUUGCUAUUCCGUAGAGAUUGGUUAUCAACAUAAGAUUAUUUUAAUAUAGGUUUUGGAGGGGGAAGUUGAGUAAGGACAAGCUAUGAUGCGGCCAUUUCAAGCAAAGCAUGAUGGUGGACCAAAUCCCAUCACAUCCAUGGUAUUUGUCCCCCUUACAUGAGAAGGUAAAACAAAUGGCAUGAUAAUGGUGAGGAGAAGAGAAAGGGACAAAAAUAGUUAGGAGAUUGUGAGGUCAUGGGAUUCCCCAUAAAAUAGUUUAAUGUGUUUUUGAGUGUUUCUCCUUUCCCCACCACCACACUGGUACAACUCUGCACGCUAAAGGAAAAAUAGAAACCCCAUGGUUUUAGUAAUACAAUUAGCUGGCCAAGAUCAUUGACCACUCAACCUAGACAAACUACCUAUUAUAAAGUACUCCUCUCUCUCUCUCUCUCUCUCUCUCUCUCUCUCUCUCUCUCUAUAUAUAUAUAUAUAUAUAUAUAUAUAUAUAUAUAUAUAUAUAUAUUUAUACGAGUUGGACUGGGCUACUAUUAGUAGCAAAAUUUUUUUAUUGCUACCAGUUUUUUAGCCUUUGGAUCAACUCUUUUCAUUAUUUCUAACAAUUGGAUUAAAUACUAUUACCCAGUGAGGACCACUCAACCCUAGAGGAACCACUCAACUCUAACCGACUAAUAUCAUCUUGACCCUAUAAUUUUUCAUCCAAGGAUUAAAAAUUUGAUAGCAAAAAGAGCGUUUUACUAUUAAUAGUAUUCCAGCCUAAUUCAUAUUUAUAUAUAGUCAUGUAUCCGAGUAUGUAUAAUUUUUUUUUUAUGUUGUAUUAUUUCCAUAGACAUAAGUCAGCCAUAAGAAAAACUUUUUCGAUUCAAUUGGCUUAAUGCCAUAAUUUUAUAGGGAUCGGAAUAUACGAUAAUCCCACUAAUUAACUAUCUUAAUAUAGCGACUUGGUCCAUGCAUAGUUCACCAAAAUAUUCAGUCUUUUACGCUUGUACAUUACAUAUGAUUGCUUUAUGUUUUCGACUAAGUUCGUAUCUGAAAAAUGAACGAAACAGAUACCUUGCUACCUUUCUCGUAAAAAAAUAAAAAUAAAAAAUCUAGUUUGAUAUUUAUACUGAAGUAAGUAUGCCAUCUUAGAGAAAGGAAUACAAUGAUUAUUUUAUGAUUAAAAAAAAAUAGAUGUUUGAUGACUGAAAUACAAUUUAUGUGAAAAUUCAAGAACUAAUUUAGUAAAGAGUACAAGAAACUACUCACAAAUCCCGAAAAUACGGGAUCUACGUACAUAUACAUUUACAUAAUUAUAUAUUUGCAAAUGGUAUCUUAGAUAAGCCUUCGAAAAUCAGGAAGAGGUUUCGACAAUUAAUAAAUAUUGUAGUGAAAUGGUCAAUCUAACAAACUAAAUAGACAGCAAAAUCUAUAUCAUAAAAUAUAUCAUUGAUAUUUACUACUGUAACACUCUGAUUUUACCUCAUGUUAUUCCCAAUUAGUGAUUGGGAGCAAACAGAAGGAAGGAAAUUACAGUAAAUACUAAACAAUUAAUACAUGCAUUUUCAAGGUAAUUUAUCCCUUUGCGUGGAACUUCCAUACAAUGAACCUAACAGGGUUGAGCUGGAUUACUAUUAGUAGCAAACGAGUCUCAUUGCCAGUCAUUUAUUUUCGAUGGCGUAGCUUCAAAUCAACAAUCGGCACUAUUAAAUAUUAUCUACACCACUAGAAAUAUUUAGAAACUAAAUUUCAUAUUUUUUCAAUAUUGUUUUCUUAUCCAUCAAGUGCACACAAAAAUAAACAGUUGAAAAUAAAUAUAUUCUUUAAAAAGUAAUGAUAGGAGUUGUGUAAUCAAGAUCAAGAAUAUAGAUCUUGUUUUAAAUGGUUUAAAAUUAUUUUUAAUCAAAAUUUAAUUGAUUUGGAUAUCUUUACGCCAUUAAACAAGAAAACGUCUCAUAUUUAUUUUUAAAAUUAUAAAUUUAAAACCUUUUGAUCGUUAGGCUAAUGGUGUCAAAAAAUUUUAAAAUUUCAUAUCUAAAUACUUCAAGUGGUAUAAAUCAUGUUCAAUUGGUACCGAUCAUCGAUUUAGAGGCUCCAUCAUAAAAAACAAAUGGAUAACAACGGAGCUCAUUUGCUACUGAUAGCAUUAAAUUCCAGCUCAACUCUGUCUCUCUCUUACUAUCUCUCUCUCUCUAUAUAUAUAAUCCGGUUUCUAUACUUUCAAUAGGAUCAAGUGCUUGGUGCUACCAAGCUUUCUGCCGUUAGAUCUAUUCCUUUGACCAUUUUUAUCCGUUAGACUAUAUUAUUCAACUAAGCACACACUCAACUUUAGUGGACCACUAUCAACCUAACUGCACAUUCCCUCAUCGAAGGGCCGAAAACCUAAUAGCACCAAUGGCUUAGUACUAUUAAUAAUAUAGCAGUCUAGUUCUAUAUAUAUAAUAUGGCAGGAAUACUUUUGAUAGUAUAGGCGUAGUAUAUAUAUAUAUAUAUAUAUAUAUAUAUAUAUAUAUAUAUGACUGGAAUACUUUUGAUUGUAUAGGAGUAGUAUUUACUAUCAACGUUUUGGCUUUUGAAUGCUUAGGAUUUAAUAGUGGUUGGUCAAAUAGUAAUAAUCAAAGAGUAAAAAAGUUGAUAAUAAACACUAAUAAUAUACUAUCAAUAGUAUAACAGGUGAACUCUCUCUCUCUCUCUCUAUAUAUAUAUAUAUAUAUGCCAAAACGCAGAAAAAAUAUUCUAAAAAGAUCUUUAAAUUACUCAAUAUAUCCUGACAAACUGCAGUUAAAGAAAAACAUUGGUCUAGUUGAGCAAGCUCAGAUAUCCCACUUUAAGUAGUAACCUGAUAUAUACUUCAACAAUAUUUCAGUUUCCCAAUAAUUGGAUGCUCAUUUAACCAUUUGCCUAUGAGCUUGCUCACAUGGACAAAUUCUUGGAAGUCUCUUUUUCCCCAUCCUGCAUUGGGAGAAUAAAAUCAACAAUGCCUUAUGUCCCCCCACCCCCACUCCUCUUUAAUGAGUGUUUAUAUAAUAAGGCACUUGAAUGGCACAAAGAAGCAUGUGAAGGAAACCCUAGAUCAGCAACCAGUUGAAAAGAUAAAGAAAUAGAGGGAUAAUUUUAAAAAUAUUUUCUAAUUGUGCGUUUCUUAAUUUUGUACCAAACUUUCAUCAACCCAGUAGAUGGUUUCAAACUAUAAUCCUUACUACAGCCAAAGCUAACAGAUAUAUGAGCUUAUAAAACCAUAGACAAUAAACUAGCUAGGUAGGAGAAGAACUUUGAACAUCAUCUAUUUAUUUGAUUCAAUAUUGAUGGUUAUACCCAAUAUAUAUAUAUAUAUAUAUAUAUAUAUAUAUCAUUCCUCAUUAUUUGUAAAAGAUGAUGACUAACAAUUAAGUAGAAAAUAAAGAGAGCAAGUUUAGUUUCAACCAAAGUAUGUAACAUUCUCAUUUGUUGUGAUGGAGCUAUAUUCAGUAGAAUUUGAAGGGGGUGCAGUGUACACAGAAGAGGAGGAGGCCGCGGGGGGCAGCGGGGGCAAAGGGGGAGGUGCGGCGACCGACACCUCCUCAGGGGGAGGAUGCACGAGCAAAGCGGCAGCGUGGGGGUUAGAGAUUAGAGAACUACCGGCUUGCCUGUACUUGUGCUUCAGUAUCUCGGCUCUAAUUGCUUCUAGUUCAGCUUCUAGGGCUUGCACUUGCUGCUGCAGCGCCAUGAUGGCUCCCAUGCAGCCGUAUACCGGGUCUCGUAGUCGUAGGUUUGCUUCGUAUACGAGACUGUUUGCCGCGUCAGCCCUCUGCGGCUCCGGGACCUCCUGAUGAAGUUGUCAAGAGCAAUAAAUUAAGAGCGUAUAUGUUGCCAUGUAAGAGGCUAGUAAAACAAAUAAUUCGAUCCGAUUUUGAUCGGUUCCUGGAUAUGUUGGCUAUCCAGUUUAUAAAUUAUAAAUUUUCGUUGCCCUCUAAUUCCAAUAAUAUAGAUUUGAAGAAGCAGUACCACAUCACAACUACUACCAUAACAUAAUCAUCUUGAGCUUUAUGUACAUGUGAAACUAAAGGAUUUUGUUUUGGUGAUAACUGUUUAUUGUUGUUAUUUACCAUUAGCAUCUUGGAGACAUUGCUUGCGCCGAAGACCUUGUGAACGGAGGCGAACUUGUUGGGCUCGUGAGGGGAGAAGUAAGGGGAGAAAGGGCAUUCCUGCGCGCACCGCCGUCGCAGGAGCUUACAGGCGGCGCACGGGGUUAUGGUGUUUAGGGCUCCGGCCGGGCCUAUUCCCCGUCCCAUCCGAUCGGCGGGCACGGCGUCGGAUUCUCUCUUGAUCUUCUUGCCGACCUCAUCGAUUCGCUCCCUGAUGCGUACAAAUGAUGAGAACAUGAGCAAGCAAUUAGAGGAAAUGAGUGUAAGAUCUCAUGCAGUAUAGUUUAGGUGUUUUGGUGGUUUUAAUCUUUCAAUACCUAAAAUUAGAACAGUUACAGAAACUGUAAUUAUCUUGCCCUUUCUAUUAUGCAAGUUAAGAGGUAUAAAAAGAGUCAGUUGUUAGAGUUAGAAAGGGGGGAAAAAUUGGUGCUGGUGUUUGUAGCUUGCUCUAACACACAAAUUCAUGGAAAGAACAAUAAUAAUUGGAAUGGCACGUUAGGGUUUGCUUUUUUGAACAUCUUAAUUAAAGAGGAGAGCUAUAAAAUUAUUUACUAACUUUCCUUACCUUUCUGAGGACAUUGAGGCAUGCUCCUUAGCAAUGAAUAUGGAACCUAGAGAGCCUGAGAAGAGAGAGAAAUAGGGGUGUAGAGAGAGAGAGAGAGAGAGAGAGAGAGAGAGAGAGAGAGAGAGAGAGAUUGGAUAUGGAGAAAGGAAAGAGUGCUUAAAAGGCAAGGUAUUAAAGGGGAAGUGGGCAAAAAGCUUAUAUCAUAGAUAAAAAGGAGGAGGAGGGGAAAGGGAAACAAUGAGUAGAGGGUGAAAAGGAGAGGAAUAAGGGGUCUCUUGUUUGGUUCCUGCUGCUGAUGUUUCUGCUGAUGUCUAAGAUUGGAUCAUUGGAGAAGAAGCUUUUCACAGAUUGAGAGAGAGGACAAAAAACUUUUCUUUUUUUUUUUCUCUCAAAAGAUGUUCUUUCUAGGAUUUGUAUCUAAAUAAUUACAUCGAGCUAUGCGAGUUACUGAAGAAUCUAAUUAACUAAAUUUUAUAUUAAUUCUAGAUUAAUUAUUUUGUUUCUUAUAUGAUAAAAGAAUUUAAUUAAUUUUUUACUAUCUCUGUAUAUAAAGAAUAUGUUAGAAACAAUAGUGGGGGUGGAGAGAGAGAGACCUUGGUGUGUGAGUUAAGAUCCCAGCUUUGGUACUGCUUGCCCACGUGGACUCCCUCAAAGAUGUUGACUUUUGCACAAGGGAGAUUCAAAGGUGAAGGGGGGUAGGGUAAGGGUACCUGUGGAUUAAAUAUAUUAAUCAAAAAAGGACCUUAAGAUUAUUUUAAGGUUUUUGGAGGGUGUUUACAUUUUUUUGGGGAUCUCCUUUUGGAGUUCUCUAUAUAUCAGAAAAAAAAAAAAAAGAGAGGCAAGAAUAGAUCAUAAGUGUCCCAACUACUCCCAGUGAACAAAGCAUCAUUGUGGAGAUCUAGGAGCAGAUUAGCUAGCAAAAAUAACUAGAAAAAUACUAAUAUUUCGUUACAUACAAAUGAUUAACUCUAAUAUACUAGCCGUACAUAAAUCCUUUACAUUCUCUCAUAUUUUCCGACGUGGGGUUACUUGAGCAUCAUAAUAUAUAGGUGCAUGGCAAUAAUGAAAUUUUGUAGUUGUUAAUAGGAAAUGAUUGAACUUUUUAUAAAUUUAGACAACAAUUGGUCAAGUAUGUUAUAGAAACUUAUCAAUAUAGCAAAUUAAGCAAAUGCAGUUAAUAAGCUCACGAGCAUUUUAACAAUUUAUCUAUAUAAAGAUAAAAAGUGAAGAUAACAGUAAAA